ACCUCCUCCCCCAGUUUACCUGUCUCCACCUCCACCCUAUCAUCACUACUACGGUUCUCCUUCUCCUCACCACUACUAAGCAAGUGCAUAAGUUUUGAGGUAAUAAUACCUAUCCAAAACUUUAUCAACACAAACUGCCAUGUAUAUCAUGCUAAGGACGUACACUUGAUCCAUGAAAAUGACUAGUAGAAGAUUUUUUUUAAGAACCAAAGAAAUACAUUAUUUUUUCGGUCUGUUUUCAAGAAUUUGAGCAGUAUACAGAUUAAAGAGUGUUUUUUUUUUUGUAAACUUGCUUGUCAACUUAAAAAUGCACAUAGCUGAAAGCCAACUGAAUAUUUGCAGGCAAAGGAGAAGGCAAUCGGUGUUUGAGACCUUCAAGAAGAUGUAGAAGAAUAAGAAUAAAAGCCCAAUGCGAGGAUGAUUCCAAGUUUCUACGUUACCAUUUCUACAUCUAAAUUGACUUUAGCUCCUGAGUUCCAUGUUUAUGGGGUUUGUACCGUUUUACGUACCAUGCAGUACAUGCUUGCAAGGUUUUCUGUCCUGUUGGCAAACUGCAGGUCCAUAUAAUAAAUGAAUACUAUUUACAUUACGACACUUUUCUCUUUUUCUCUUAUAUUUUGUCUUUAAUAUUGUUGAUCAUUUUUUUUUUAUCAAAAGCAUCAAAUGCUUAGGUAAUUUGGUCUAAUGCUAAUUGUUUUACUUUUAUUUUUCACCUACACCCCUUUUCAACUCAAAGGAUGCUAUAGUUUGUGAUAAUUGUUUAAGACCGAAGCAUGAUACUAAUAAAUAUCUCAUUGAAAGUCAAGGAAACUAACAUUAGGAAAAGUUUAAAUCUUGAUUUGAUGAAACUAUUUAUUCGUGGAAUUUAGAGAUACAAAACUCAAAUUGUGACGGUGUUGUUGCUAAAUUAUUAAGGACAUUAUCACCAUUAUUUUUCCCUGAUCACUAGUUUCAACUGCAAUGAUCUCAAUCUUUUUGUGACUAAUUCUUUCCUUAAUAAUUUAUAAAGACAAAACUCACAAAGAAUAUGUGACUAAUUCUUUCCUUUCGUCUUCUAAAGAAAAUGCCAACUGUUAGUUUAUCAAGGGGAAAAAGGAUCGACAUCAGUUAUUAUUGAAACUAGUAAGGAAUAAAUAAUGGUGAUAAUGUCCUUAAUAAUUUAACAACAGCACCAUCAGAAUUUGACUUUGAGCUUCGGUCUUAAACAAUGAUCACAAACUACAGCAUCCUUUGAGUUGAAAAAGGAAGUAGGUGAAAAGAAAAGUAAAAAAUACAAUUAGCAUUCCCUCAAAUUGUAGAAAGUUAGGUAGCAUUAUAGACAAGUUGAUAGCGGCAAUUUUACAUUUCAAACUUCACCUAUUCAAUAACUAAUUCGAUGGCUUGCUACAUGGUCAAUCUUUGGACCCCUUCCUGCCUCCAGAUAUCCCUUUCCUCAAUCAGGGGCUUCUACAAUUACCAGUUUCAAUUGUAUGGUAUAGUGUAAAUAUCAACAAAUUAGAUGUAGAUGCUAACAUAAUAAAUGUGAAUGCUAAGACAGCAACAUACAAUCGAACCUGCAAUUGUAUGAACCCCAAUCUCGCUUCCUAGUCCACCAUCUUUCUCUAGGUAAUAAUCUCCCUUCUAAUUUAUUCACAAAAUGCACCUUUCAUCACCUCCAAUAGCGUCGACAUGAUCUUUACCCUAGAAGACUAUUCACCGACUCUCAAUUGACGUCAGAAAAUCUAAGAGUAAUUCUACUUUACCCUAAGAUUGAUAUCAACAAGACAAGGACAAUUUAGAAUUAUUACACGCCUCUUCUUAAUAGGAAAAAGAAAUAGAGAAGAAAGUCAGGCCAGGUCUAAUUUCUUUUCAAAGGCAAUACAACAUUACGAAAUCAAGCAUUCAUUCAUACAAAUAUUUCAUAGUCACCGGUUUGCUGAGUAGAAAAAUUUAGACAAAAACUUAAUAUUAUAUUGUUUAAGAGUUAACAAUUUAGAGCUUAAUCUCCUUGUACUUUGGAGUUAACAAUUUAGAGCUUAAUCUCCUUGUACUUUGGACUAAACUUGAACGUGAAAGGAAAUCCCAAAACCAUAUUGGGCAUGAAUUCACACUUAAUAUACCCAAUAAAAGAUGGCGACUGGUGAAAGGCAGUGGAGACUGGUGGAGAGAUUUGAGGAAUAGAAGCAGACGGAAAAGCAACAAAUUUUUGCCGAAAAACGGUCACUUUCAUGGUUAAUUUUGCUACUCUCCAAUUGUACUUGACCAAUUACAACAAUUUCAUGGAGUUUGAUACGUGAAAAGAAUUUUUUAUAAAUUUUAUUUUGAUCCAUAAUGUUAUCUUUACAUAUAUAAAACAUUUUACAAUUUUGAUUUUGGCGCAGCUAACUUUUGGUUAACAAAAAUGCUCAUGUUUAAAAAACCAGAAAUAAAACAAAACAAGAAACAAAAGAAAUAAGAGGGUAGCAUAGACAUUUUGGAUUUUUCCGUUAAUUUGGAUGAUUUCCACCCACGUUCUAAUUUAAUCCAAAACACAAAGGAAUUACGUAGAGGUUUUAAAUAAUCAGGGAGCUUCAUGAUCGAACCCCAAACCACGUGAUAGCAUACAAGAGUUCUAUUUCACUAUCGGUAGACAAAGACUUUCUAUGGUUGAUGUACCGUAGGAAAAAAUCUGCCUAUACAACGUGAUAGCAUUUUUUCAAAAACACAAGAUGGAAAAUUGCCCCCUUAAACGUGGAAAUUCAUGAUCUUUCCUCGAACAAAGAAUACUCACGCCUAUUCAAGAUGGAAAAUUGCCCCCUUAAACGUCUAUUUGUCAAUUCUUGAAAAAAGAAUACUCACGCCUAAAACACGGCCUCUUCAUCUGCAGAAUUCUAAAAAGUUACGUAAACUCUAUAAACAAGUUGAUAGGUACAAUCGUACCCAAGAUCAAGUACAGAUAGUUGUACAUUCACUGCUGCAAUAACUAAUCUGAUGACUUACAAACAUAUCAUGGUCAAUCGUUGAAUGGUAAUGAGUCUUUUGUUAUGCAUUAGUAUUAGUGUGUACACUCUAAUAGAUUGAUACUUAUACUCUUUAAAUUAUCAUAAUAAUACCCUUAAUUAACUUUAACUCUUAAAAAGAAUACGUGUUAAUACACGAGAGUGUGUAACCUGAAUUGUUACUUAUACAUUAGUGUGUAAUAGAUAGGGAUGGCAGUGAGGGCGAGUGCCCGCGGGGGGCUCUCGGGGCGGGGGCGGGGGAGAAUUUUUUCCCCCCGUUUAGAAACGGGGCAGGGGACGGGGGAGUAUACCCCCGCCCCAUCCCCCGCCCCGCCACCCGCAAAAAAAAUUAUAUAUAUAUAAUUAUAUAUAAUAUGUAAUUUAAUUAGUUAUAAACUUAUGAUAAUGAUAUUAUUAGUUAGAUGUAUUAUAUAAUGUAUAUUAGUGUAUGUAAUAUAAUUAAUAUUAUCAAUUAUACGAAUAAUUAGACAUGUCCACUAAUAGAGUUUAUUAAUUAGUUAUACUAAAUUUACUAAUACAUUUGUACUAAAUUUCUAAUUACACUUAAUAGAAUAACACUUUUUUCUAAAAAAAAAAGCACAAACACAAUAAUGAAUUAGUGAUUGUAUUUGUACCAAAAGUGAAAACUUAACUAUUUUAGUUGUAUUUAUUUCAUCAUGUUGGAUUGUAUUCAAAUAAUUUUUGUUUGAUUGUUUUUAUGAGUUUCAAUUGUAAAAUUAAAAUGAAUAAUAACUUGAUGAUGUGUUGAUAUUUUAGUACUUGAUUAUUUAUUGAUUUAACUAUAAUAAAAUUUUAUUUUAUUAAAAUUUAACUAUAAUAAAAUUUUAUUAACCAAACGAGUUAUUAAUCCCGCGGGGGCACCCACGGGGGAAGCGGGGCGGGGCGGGGGAGUGGGAGGCGGGGGACGGGGCGGGGGUGGGGGGAGUUGUAGGUAGCGGGGCGGGGGAUGGGGGAGGGGUCCCCCGCCCCAACCCCGCCAUCCCCCGCCCCGUUGCCAUCCCUAGUAAUAGACUGGCAAGCAUUGUGGUGGUCAUUGAGAACUUACUGGAGAAAUAGUCCUAUAAGCUGUUCAAUGAGCAAUCACAACUUGCUAAUUGGAUGACUAAUAUAGCUCUAGCUGUAAUGUUUUAAUUAAAUUACAUCACUAACGUUGGGAUGACUUUUUAACCAAAAAAAAAUGCCUUAGUUCAAGCUUUUCCCUUUAUUGUGCAUUUUUUAAAGCAUUUGAUAGGCACUGCAAAUCUGUCAUUUUGGACAUUUUAUUAUUGACUAACAAUGAAAGCCGUGACGUCUACCCAUAACCAACACAAGAUUAAAUUAAUAUUAGAAAAAAUAAUUGAGUAAUUGGAAAAAAAAAAAGAGACUCAUUUUCAUUGAAACCCACCGACAAACUAAACGUGUCCAUGGCUUUUGAAUAGUGCAUUCAACGUUUAAUUGUAUAGUCCAGUUCAUUGCAGAUUACAUGGAGUAAAGAUUGUGCUCUUUCCUUUUUCACCCCUUUUGGAAUCGAUACUGUGGAGAAUUGGGUUUUUCCCUUCUUUUUUUCUUUUCUUUCCUUCUGUGCUUUGCAAAACAUAGGUAAAAAUAUGAAAUCCGAAGCAUUCUUUAAUUGGGAUUAAGUAUUGUUGUUGAAAUUAAAAAGAAAAAAGAAAGAACAACAAAAUUCCCAAUCUGGGUUGAUUGUUGAGCUCUAGAUUGGUUGCAUCGUGCUUCCAUAGAAGCUCUCUUAGUGUGAUACACUGCUUUCAAUCAGUUUAACACGGGAAAAAAAAAAAAAGAGAUGAAAAGCAAAUUUGGUGGGGAUAAUUUCAGAAACCUCCCCUGAAGAUUUUGACUAUUCUACUGGUCUCCCUUCAGAUUUUAAAAAUUACACUAAUCUUCCUUGAAGUUAAUUAUCUUGUAACAUUUAAAUUCAAUCAAUAAUUUAAAAAAUGAUAUUAUGAGAGAGAAAAUAAUGAUUUUAUCAUUGCCCCCCAUCUUACUACAUUAUUUAAUUAAUUUAAUAGCAACCCACACAUUAAAGAAAAAUAUUAAAAUUUGUUGUUUAUCAUUAAAGAUCAAAUCGCUUAUAACAUCAAAUAAUAGUAUAUUAUUUAUAUUUUUCACUCAAUAUAAUAUCCAAAUUACUCUUUUCAAUUACAUACCCAUUGUUAGACAAUCAACAACAAAUAACCAAAAAAUUUGCAACCAAAAUAUUACAAAAAAAUAAACUUUAACAUAUAAAUAUUCUUAUCAACAUAUUAAAGUUAGUUACUGAAAUUUUUAUGCUGUUAAACUUCACUCUUUUUGGUUACAGAUUUUUUUGAUUAUUUGUUAUUAAUUAUGUUUGAUGAUGGAUUUAUAAUUGAAAAGAACAAUUUGAAACUUACAUUAAGUAAAAUAUAUAGAGUGAUAUACUAUUUUUUAUAACAUAUGUGAUUCAAUCCUUCUUGAUAGGAUUGGUAAUAGAGGUAGAGGGGGGAGCCGGCUGCAUCCGGUCUACUUUUCAUAGAUAGUACAAUAUUGCGAAAUCGAUCGCAUUCACGCAAUAUUAUUUCCAAGUCAUUGCAUGGCUAAGCUGCAAAAAAAGUACGAACACAUGUUAUUAUAUAGCUUACGAUUCAAAACUUUAGAGCAUAACCCUCCACCUAACACAAUUGAAUAAUGAACAUUCACGUUUGUCAAAUCUGUCAAAGCACAGUUUGAGGACAACCCAUUCCAACCUGCAAAAGAUUUUUUACUUUUCUAAAGUUGUUGAGAGCUGUAAAAAGACUUACCAUGCUUGCAUCCUCCGAGCCUUGGGAGUUAAAAAUGAAGGCACUGAGUGCUAUAAAAAGGGGAAUAGAGGCUGCCUAGAAGCAUAUCAGCCUAAAACAAGAAUUUGUAGUUAAGAUGGGAAGCAAAGCAAAAGCAAUGGGGUCUGGGCUGACUCCUCUUCUUGCCACUGUUUUAGUGGUGUUUGUUGCUCUUGGCUUGCCCUCACAAACUGCAGCUGAUGAUCACUACAAGUAUUCAUCUCCUCCUCCUCCUUACCACUAUCCCUCACCACCACCACCAGUGCAUAUACCUCCACCUCAUCCUGUUUACAAGUACAAAUCUCCACCACACCCCCAGUACAAGUAUAAGUCACCACCACCACCUCCUCAUCCGGUAUACAGUCUCCUCCGCCACCACACACCCAGUUUACAAGUACAAGUCACCACCACCACCUCCUCAUCCGGUACCACACCCAGUUUACAAGUAUAAGUCUCCUCCGCCACCAGUUUACAAAUACAAGUCUCCUCCACCACCACCUCCAGUGUACAAAUACAAGUCUCCACCACCACCAGUUUACCACUACAAGUCUCCACCACAGUUUACAAAUACAAGUCUCCACCACCACCCCCAGUUUACAAAUACAAGUCUCCACCACCACCAGUUUACCACUACAAGUCACCACCACCUCCUCCCCCAGUUUACAAAUACAAGUCUCCACCACCUCCUCACCACUACUAAGCAAUUGCUUCUGAGGUAAUAACACUUGUUCAAUAUACCCACUUCUGCAUGAUAAAGCAUAUCUCUAUCAACACAAACUGUCAUGUCUAUCAUGCUAAGUGCCUUCACUUCAUCCACCAAAAUGACUGCUAGAAAAUUUUUUUUAUGUUACCAAAGAAAGGCAUCAUUUUUUCCCUCUGUUAUCAAGAACUUGUACAGUAUAUAGAUUAAAGAGUAUUUUUUUAACUAGCUUAUCAACUGAGAAAUGCAUAUAGCUGAUAGCCAGCUGAAUAUUUGCAGGCAAAGGAGAAGGAAACCAGUGUUUGAGACCUUCUUGAAGAUGUAGAAGCAUAAGAAUUAAAGCCCAAUGUGAAGAUGAUGAUUUCAAGUUUUUCUACGUUACCAUUUCUUUAUCUAAAUUGGUUGUAGCGCCUUAGUUCCUUUGUUUAUGGGAUUUGUAUCGUUUUACGUACCAUGCAGUACAUGUCAUGUUUGUAAGGUUUUCUAUCCUGCCGGCAAACCGCAGGUUCCAUGUAAUAAAUCAAUACUAUUUAUAUUACGACACUUUUCUCUGUUUCUCUUAUAUUUUGUCGUCUUUAAUAUUCUUAAUCAUAUUUUUAACAAAAAUAUUCAAACACUUAGGCAAUCUGGUCUAAUGCUAAUUGUAUGUUUUACUUUUCUUUUUCACCUGCUCCCCUUUUCAACUCAAAAGGAUGCAAUAGUUUGUGAUCACUGUUUAAGACGGAAGCAUGAUACUAAUGAAUAUCUCAUUGAAACUCAAGGAAACUAACAUUGCGAAAAGUGUAAAUCUUGAUUUGAUGCAACUAUUUAUUCGUGGAAUCUAUAGUUACAAAACUCAAAUUCUGACUGCGCCAUUGAUAAAUUAUUAAUGACGCUAUCAUCAUUAUUUAUCCCUAACUAGUUUCGACUACAACUGAACCCAAUAUUUUCCCCAUGAUAAAAGUUUUUGACUAUUUUACUGGCCUCUCUUCAAAUUUUAAAAAUUACACUAAUCUUCAUUGAGAUUAAUUAUCUUGUAACAUUUAAGUCCAAUUAAUAAUUAAAAAAUGAUAUUAUGAGAGAGAAAAUAAUAUAAUUUUAUCAUUGCCCCCCAUCUUGCUAUAUUAUUUAAUUAAUUUAAUAGCAACCCACACAUUAAAGAAAAAUACUAAAAUUUGCUGCUUUUCAUUAAAGAUCAAAUUGCAUAUGCCAUAAAACAUAGUAUAUCAUUCUAUAUGUUUCACUUAAUGUAAGAUCCCAAUUGUUCUUUUCAAUUACAAACCCAUUGUCAAUAACAAAUAACCAAAAAAUUUGCAACCAAAAUAUUACAAAAAAAAACUUCAACAUCAUAAAUAUUCUUACCACCUCUAGUGCAUUCACCCUCAUAAAAUAAUUCAAGACCCUACUGUCAUAAAAUGACUGAUCAACUCCCGUAAACCUAAUUUGACAACAUUUAAAUGGAGAACUUUAGCUAAAAGAAUUAUGGUCAAGCUAAAGAAAAAACCAGUUAUUUUCCAACAUAUGCAAUCAUUGAUCAGGGAAAAAAAAAAGAGCAAAAAGACAUCUUCAAUCAUUUAAUAGCUUACAGGGCAAAUUAACCCCUAAGCGAAAACUGGUUGCUCUAGAAUCAAAAUUUUACUUUAGUUACCCAGGCAACUUUUUUGUUGCUUUUUUUUUUUUUUUCCUUUAGUUUUGCCCCCUCUGUCAAGCUUAUAAAAUUAUUAAGAUAAUAAAAGUGCCUUGAAUAGUAUUAAUAUAUCCAUUGACUUGAGCUGUCGUCAGUUUGCGAUUCCAUGAGGCCUUUUCAAAGUACUCAGAAAAUGGGGAGUCAUGAAAUCCAUUUGUUCUAUUCAUUGCUAAGAUGCUUUUCUCUAUAAAGAGACUUCCUAACGAAAAUACUUUGUAGAUUUCUUUACUCCAAGUGGUGCAUGGAAAAUUAAUAUUUUCAAUUAUCAAAUAAAAUUCCCUUUUUUCGGCGUAGAUUUCAUCCAUCCAGCUGUUAACACAUUCUAUAAAUCCGAAUUGACUAAUCUUUUCGUUUCCAUUUUCCAACUUGCGAAUACGGCAUAUAGUGUCUGCUAAACACUAUAUAUUCUCUGCCAAAUAUGAAUACAUAUCACUUUUCUGAGCAAGUGCAGAGUCAUUAUCAUUUUUAUUCCCACCUAACAAAUUAGGGAUAAAAAAGUUAAUAAUCUUUACAUGCUAUCAGGUCACAAGUUAAUAAUCUUUUAAAGAACAUGUUAAAUUAAUUUAUUGGUAUGAAUAGUAGUCAAAGAAGUAUGUUAAAGUUAGUAAUCUUUAAAAUAAUAUGUUAAAAUCAUUCGUACAAAUUAGUCAGAGAAGUAGCAUAAACACCGCGAUGCAAUUAAUACUUUCAAUCUCAAGGUCUCUAUUAUGGAAAUUUGCAUCGGUCAAUAUACACUUGGCAUAAUAUAAUCUCCCAACUCAUUUCUUUACAAAUGCACCUUUAAUCACCACCAAAAGGUGUGGACAUGAUCUUUACCCUAGAAAACUAUUCACCGACAGGCAAAUUGACGUCAGAAAUACUGAGGAAUUCUAGUUUCCUUCGGGUUCAUGCCAUGUUGUAUCCUUCAACUGUAACUCGAUUUCUAAGCUGUAAUUUGUGACAUAAUAGUCCUUAAACUAUGAAACCCUUCUUACUUAAUUACAAUGGUUAAUACAAUGCCCGUGACUAGACAAGUAUGAAGCAACCAUAACAGAAAAAAAAUCCAAAAUUAGAGAAAAGAAAGAAGUUUCGCGACCACCACCAGUUUACAAGUCACCUCCACCACCUCCUCCAGUUUACAAGUCACCUCCACCACCUUACCAUUAUUCCUCACCACCACCUCCAGUGCAUUCACCCCCACCACCACCAGUUUACAAGUCUCCGCCACCACCUUACCAUUAUUCCUCACCACCACCUCCUGUGCAUGCACCUCCACCACCAAUUUACAAGUCACCUCCUCCAGUUUACAAGUCUCCACCACCACCUUACGAUUAUUCCUCACCACCACCUCCAGUGCAUUCACCCCCACCACCACCAAUUUAUAAGUCUCCCCCACCGCCUCCCCCAGUAUAUAAGUCACCACCACCACCUCCUCCAGUAUACAAAUCACCUCCACCACCUCCUCCAGUUGACAAAUCUCCACCACCACCAAUUUAUAAAUACAAGUCUCCUCCACUACCUCCUCCAGUGUACAAGUCAUCACCACCACCUGCUUACAAGUCUCCACCUCCUCCAGUUUACAGUUCCCCACCACCACCAAUCUACAAGUCUCCACCUCCACCCUACCAUUACUACUACAAUUCUCCUCCUCCUCCUCGUCACUACUAAGCAAUUGUAUCCAAGUUUUUGAGGUAAUAACGCUUAACCAAUAAAUUAACUUUCGCAUGAUAAACCUUAUCUCUAUCAAGACAAACUGCCAUGUGUAUCAUGCCAAAUACGUACACCUAGAUCCAUGAAAAUGAAUGGUGAGGAGGGCCAUUUAGGCUCGGAGCGCCCUAGGCCUAGUUCCCCACCAUUUCCUGAAGUGCCGCCUCGGGUAUUAUCCUGGAAGGCGAUCGCGGCCCAUUUACCACCUCGGCUACAAUGUCAGGUCGUAACACCGAGGUGGACAUUGAAUGACAACUACGAAAAGGGGAGAUGUGAUCUCUGACACCUGAGCAAAGGCUGCUCUGACCCGCCGCCUGAAUCUGACAGAAUGUCCCAUCACGUCUCUUCAUGGAGACCGGUCAAGUCCACCUGAUCCACUGACUAUCUCAGAUCUUUUGGGACCCGUGCAAACAUCUCCUCUCUCCUAUCAGUCCCCUAUAAAUACACGAUACUUCUACUGAAAAAGGAGAUGACCAAUUUCUGGUAAAACACACUCCACUCAUUAUUUACUUCUCUAUAUCCGAACUGACUUAAGCUUCGGAGUUAUACCGGGGGAUCCAGCCCCUUUCUUAUCCAAGCAGGUGACUUCGUCCAAGAGAGUUGCCCAAGGUAAAGAUAUUCUUCCAAUUGAGGUGACUCACUCCUGCGGGUCGAAAAUCACCUCUUCAAUUGGCGCCGUCUGUGGGAACCGCAAAGAUAUUAGAAGAUGAAGCCUGCGCGUUCUAGAAGCAGAAAAGCUCUCACUAUCGAGGCUGGGCAAAGCAAUGCAGCUCAACAAGAAAAUAUUUCUGAAGGGCAGGAGUCCCCAAGGACUCAGCCCGCAAACGAAAAAGCCAUAACCCGUAUGGCCGAGUUUGUGACCGAGAACCCCAACAUCUUUGAAGAGUUGGGAAGAUACCUGAAGAGGCAAGGCAAACAAAAGGCCGAGUCCUCUAAAAGGAUGUCAGAUGGGUCUCUUGAGGACUCAUCUGAGGAGGAGUCGGAUGGAAGGCACUUAAGCCGAAGUGCCUCAAAGCGAGCAUUUUCUAAGGCCACUUCUAAGGUAGCCUCCCUGACCAAGGCGUUUUCCCGAGGGCUCUUGGGCCGACGACCCGAGGAAGAACCUCGGCCCUUGGGAAUACCCGGGGUGGACUGCAUGAGGGCUCCACCGUUCACGGAUGAUAUAAACGAGGAAAGGCUUCCUCCCAAUUUUAAGCUCCCCGCAGUACAAUCUUACGAUGGCCGAGGUGAUCCCGAGAAUCACAUCCAUACCUUCAUCUCGGCCUUCCAAAUAUACUGCAUCCCAGACCCUGUCAUAUGUCGGGCCUUUCCAGUAUUCCUCAGAGGAACUGCUCGAAAAUGGUUCUGAGCUCUAGAACCUAGGAGCAUUUCGACCCUGGGUGAAUUAGUGGAGAAGUUUCUCCACCGAUUUGUCUCCUCCCGACCUACGACUAGGACCUCGGCUUACCUGCUCACCGUGCAGCAGAACCCGGGAGAGUCACUCCGGUCGUACGUCCGGAGGUUCCAUGAGGAAAGCGUUCAGAUACCUGACCCCAAUGAGCAGGUAACCCUCGCUGCCUUUACCCAUGGACUCGUUGCCGGGGAGUUCAAUACGGGGAUCCAUAAAAAAUACCCCCGCACACUGCAUGAAUUGUGGUUGAAGGUUGAAAAGGGCAUACAGGCCGAAGACCUCCAUCGCAUGAAGAAAGAGGUCCAAGCCACCCGUCCAAGGGCUGAGCCCAGAAAGGGAAAAGACGCUGGCCGAACUGAAGUAGGGUCGGGAAGUGGCUUCCGAAGUCCUGGCCGAGACCGCCGCAGCGUGUUCGACAGGAUAUCCAAGGGGAAGUCACCUAUUCCCGAGUCCGAGUUGACUCCUUUAAAUACUACCCGAUCUCACGUGUUGUCCGUGAUGGAACAAAACAACCUCGGCAAGGGCCCGCCGAGGAUGUUUGGAAGCAGAGACAAGAGGAACUCGAACCUCUACUGCUUGUAUCAUCGUGACAUUGGUCACGAAACUGAGGAUUGCAACGAUCUCAAGAAGGAGAUCGAGAACCUCAUUAGACGGGGACACUUGAAACAGUUCAUCCGCAGAGGUGGAGGUCACCAACGUGACGAAAACCGGCAUGACAAAUGAGGUGACCAACGCCGAGAUGAGCGGCGGAGCUCCAGAAGCAGUUGCCGACCUCCUGAGGAUCCCAGGGAGACGAAAAGGCCUCCCCCAGACGGAUCUUCGGGACAUGGGCCAACCAUUGCCCGGGUCAUUAACACCAUUGCCGGAGGUCCGACGGGAGGGGACAGUCAGAACUCCCGGAAGAGAACCUAUAAGCAGGCUAACCCGGAUCAGGCCGAGUCGAGUUCUCGCCUGUCCGAGGUGAUCACCUACGGGCUCAGUGAUCCCAUCCCAGCUGCAUCCAGCAGUCAUGAAACCUUGGUGAUUGAAGUCCUCACCAAUAACUACAUUGUGAAAAGGUCUACAUAGACCCGGGAAGUUCAGUUGACGUCAUGUACCUCCGUACCUUUGAGAGCCUUAAAAUGGCUAAGGGGUGCAUGACCCCGCUGAGAACCCCUCUUGUAGGGUUCGGGGGACACGUGGUGCACCCCGAAGGGAUGGUGACUCUGACAGUGACCAUAGGGCAUCACUCUCGCUGUAGAACCGUCCCUGUCAAUUUUGUGGUGGUUAAGGCUGACUCCCCAUACAACCUACUUUUAGGUCGGCCUACGCUCAAUGCCUUGCGGGCGGUCUACUCCACCUACCACCUGAGCUUCAAGUUUCCUACCCCAGCAGGGGUGGCCGAGGUCAGCAGCGACGUCUGUGCUGUCCGGGAGUGCUACCUCGCCACCCUACAAGCAGCCUCCCCGUCUACCUCCGGUGCGAGGUCCGAGAAGAGGUCAAAUAUCCUCUCAAUAGAUAGCAUCGAUCCUCAGUGAGCUGAGAAGGUCCCGAGGCUGGAGACUGGGGAUGAGGUGGAAGAGAUUCCCCUGGACCCCACGAAACCUGAUCAGACAGUUCGCGUUGGUACCCGAUUGCCCGGUCCUAUCCGAAGAGGUAUGAUGGACCUCCUCAGGGAAUACCGGGACGUCUUUGCUUGGGCCGCCGAAGAGGUCCAAGGAGUCCCGCACCAUCUCAUGAUGCAUGACUGAACGUCGACCCCCAAGUCCGUCCGGUCAAACAGAAGAGAAGGCACAUCGGCCCUGAGCGCAGCCAAGCUGUUGGUGAGGAAGUGGACAAGCUUUUACCCGCUAAAAUAAUCCGAAAAGUCCAAUACCCGAUCUGGUUGUCUAACUCGGUCAUGGUCAAGAAGGAUACGGGGGCUUGGAGAAUGUGCGUCGAUUUUACCGACCUCAACAAAGCCUGCUCCAAGGAUUGCUACCCCUUGCCCAAAGUCGAUACUUUGGUAGACUCAGCAAUGGGCUACGAGAUCCUCUGUUUCUGGGAUGCAUUCAAAGGCUAUCACCAAAUUGGGAUGAGUCAAGAAAACCAGGAGAAAACGGCCUUCUACACCGACCGCGGCACGUACUGUUAUACUACCAUGCCAUUCGGGUUGAAGAAUGCCGGAGCCACUUAUCAACGCUUGGUCAACCAAGCAUUCAAGUCUCAAAUCGGCCGGAAUGUUGAGGCCUAUGUAGAUGACAUCCUCCUCAAAAGCCAGACGAACUCCACCUUCCUGGCCGACUUGAAGGAGGUCCUUGACAUCCUGCGGAAGGUGAAAAUGAUGCUGAACCCCAAGAAAUGUGUUUUUGGGGUCACCUCGGGGAAAUUUCUAGGUUACCUCGUCUCAAGGCGAGGUAUCGAAGCAAAUCCGGAUAAGGUGCGAGCCAUCCAGGAGAUGUCUCCACCCCGGUGCGUCCGCGAUGUCCAAAGGCUGACAGGGCGAUUAGCCGCCCUGAAUCGGUUCUUAUCGCAGUCGGCAGCUAAAGCACUGCCCUUUUUCAAAGUGUUGAAGAAAGCUGACCAUUUCUCCUGGACGGAAGAGUGUCAACAGGCGUUUGAGCAGUUGAAGGAUUACCUUCACUACCUUCCAACGCUCACCUCACCUCGUCCGGGGGACAAAUUAAUCUUAUACCUUUCUGCUGCGGCCGAAGCGGUGAGUGCCGUGCUGAUAAGGAAGGAAGGGGUCCAAAUGCCCGUCUACUACGUUAGCCGAGUCCUCCGAGGUCCAGAGACCAGGUACACACAAGCAGAGAAACUUGUGCUAGCCCUGAUCCACGCCGCCCGCAGACUCAAGCCCUACUUCCUAGCUCACCACGUCUGCUUGAGGACUGAUCAACCACUUCGGCAGAUUUUGACACGACCAGAGGUUUCGGGACGUCUUACCAAAUGGGCCAUUGAGCUGGGGGAGUACGACCUAACUUAUGAGCCUCGCACAGCGAUCAAGGCCCAGGCUCUCGCAGACUUCGUAGCCGAGCUCACCUUUGACGAGGUGCAAGGAUCCGUCCCGGCUGCCACAUCGGCCACAGUUGAUGUGGCCACCACUGGGCUCCAGCGGUGGAUCCUACACGUGGACGGUUCGUCAACAGUGAGGGUAGUGGAGCAGGCUUGCUCCUCGAAGACCCCCAAGGAGAAAUAUGCUAAUAUGCCUUAAGAUUUGACUUCGCUGCUUCAAACAAUGAAGCUGAAUACGAAGCCGUCAUUGCUGGACUGCAGCUAGCUCGCAAGCUCGGGGCCGCACACAUCUUGGUUUAUAGUGAUUCCCAACUCGUCGUGUGCCAGAUAUUAGGUGAGUACGAAGCCAGGGACGAGGUGAUGCAUCGUUACCUCUCCAAGGUCCUCCAGUUGGCGACUCACUUCGAGUCUUUUGAAAUUCAAAGAAUACCGCUAUCGAAAAACAGAAGGGCUGACGCCCUCUCCCGGCUUGCCUCAACCUCUUUCUCUGACCUGAACAAGACGGUUCUCGUUGAAGUUCUAGCCGAACCAGGAUAUGUAGCCGAGGUAGUAUACCCCGUCUACCCUGGGGACACCUGGAUGGGUCCCCUGACUCGAUUUUUCAGCCAGGGUGAGCUCCCCGAAGACCGAGCUGAGUCACGGAAGCUCCAACGAAAAGCAGCACGGUACAUUCUCCGACAAGGCCUUUUAUACAAAAGGUCUUACCUCGGCCCUUAGUUGCGAUGUAUCACGCCCGAGGAAGGCCAGAGAAUCCUCCAAGACAUACAUGAGGGGCUCUGUGGUGCUCACGUCGGCUACAGAAUGCUGGUAAAAAAGGCUUUGUUACUUGGGUAUUUUUGGCCCACUAUGAGGAUAGAUGCCCAGGUCAUGGUCCUUUGCUGCCCCUCCUGCCAGCAUCACGCUCCUGAGCACCACCAGCCGACCAAUUUAAUGAUCCCUAUCACCUCGUCAUGGCCAUUUGAGCAAUGGGGAACGGACAUAAUUGGCCCCUUUCCCAGAGCUCCAGGCAAUUAUACCUACGUGGUGGUAGCAGUGGACUACUUCACCAAAUGGGUCGAAGCUGAACCCCUAAAAAAUAUCACUGGUGCGGCAGUCCAGAAAUUCUUCUGGAAGAAUGUGGUUUGCCGCUUCGGCCUACCCCGGGUGAUCAUCUCGGAUAAUGGCCGACAGUUCGCCGAUAAUCCUUUCAAGGCCUGGUGUGAGAACCUCGGGGUCAAACAGCAUUUCACUUCGGUGGGACACCCCCAAGCCAACGGACAAGCCGAAAACUUCAAUCGCACGCUCCUCCAUGGCCUCAAGACCAGGCUCCACCAGGCUGGAUCGUUUUGGAUGGAAGAGCUCCCCAGUGUGCUGUGGUCCUACCGAACUACGCCGAGAUCAGCAACCCAGGAAACCCCGUUUUCCUUAACCUACGGGUCAGAAGCUGUUGUUCCAGCCGAAUUCAUCACCCCGAGUCCACGAAUGGCCGCAUAUGCUGCCGAAGUCAAUGAAGAAGAACGGCGAGUUGACCUCGACCUCGUCGAAGAGAAGCGUGAUAUGGCCGCGGCCAAAGUUGCUGUUUACAAAAAUAUCGUAGCUGGCUACUACAACGCUCGGGUUAAACAUUUGCGGUUCAGUCCGGGAGACCUGGUGCUCAGGAAGAACUCAGUCAGCCGGGCUGAACCUCAGGGUAAACUAACCCCCAAGUGGGAGGGACCAUACCGUGUUGUUGAGUCCAGCCAAAAUGGAUAUUGUAAAUUGGCAUACCGAGAUGGGUCUCUGAGUGCCCCGAACUUGGCAUGCUGAAAAUCUUAAGUUGUACUACCCUUGAGGGUAUGUGCUUUUAAUCUUGAGUUAUUUCACACUUAUUUUCAUUUCAUUAUAAGUGAAAAAUAAGGGGACAAAGUAGCAGUAAAGAGGAAAACCGAAUUUAAUUAAAAAGAAAGCAAGAAUAUGAACUCAAUUCCAUUGAAUUACAUAAAAGUAGAAAGCCGAGGUCACCUUUAAUUAGGAAGAAAGCAAGAAUAUAAACUCAAUUCCAUUGAAUUACAUAAAAGUAGAAAGCCGAGGUCACCUUUGACCUCGGCCUACAAUGACAAAAAAAAAAACAAGUGCCUCUAGGCACUCCCUACCCUGACAUCCUGGCCCCCCGUGGUCGCGCCACCCGUUUCGGCACCCUGUCCACCCUCAGCUCCUCCACCGGCCUGGUCGUCUUCAGUACCAUCUAGUUCAAACUCCUGGAGCCAUUUGUUGAAUUCGGCUCGGACUUCGGUUAGGUCUUUCUCAGUCCGGAUGCCCUCAGCCAUGCUGUCGCAUAGCUCCUUGGCAUCCUCGUUAUAGUGCGAAGUGCUCUGAAGGGACUCCAGUUGUUCAGAGGGAAGAAAGGAUGCCGCGUCAUUAAUAGCCGACGUGUACCCGAACAUGAAGCUUGGCCGGGUGAGCUCGCCGAGGUCACGGAUGAAGGACUCUGACGUCCGGAAGGCUUCCACAGCAGUGACCCCGGCCUUGUCCAUGGCCUCCCUGUUUGACUGUUCUUCUUGGGCCCUCCUUUUUUUCUCCUCAUCAAGAGCAGUCACCAGGGAAUUGUUCGCGACCUCGGCCCUUUUGUUAGCCGCCUUGGCCUUGUCACGCUCCAACUCGGUUGCCUUCAGUUUUUCUUCCAACUCGGCAAUUCUCUUCUGGAGCUCGGCAGGAGGCUCAUAGUUUUCCAUGAACUUUCCAUACCGUUGAAUCAUCUCGACAAAAAAAGCCGUGGUAGAGGCCCAUGACACCGAGGCGCUCUGCAUCAACUCCCCUGCGGAGAGCUUCCUAGCAUAAGUGCUAUCUCGUGGCAGCACUGAAUGCACCAAGAGCUCCUGAGCGACCAAAGGGUUCUUGCAGCGAUCGUUGAAAUUAAUCUCCCACUCUGGACACCAGUGUGAUCCGGGGUGUCUCUUGUCCUCCUCAGCUGCCUUGAAAGGCACAUGAUGGAGUUUGAACAAAGAUGACCCCGUGACGGGGUUCUCCGGAAAUAUGGUCACACCCUGACCCCGGGGGGGAGUGGCAAUCGUGACCCAGCGAGAAGGGAUUCCCACCGGAAUUGCCGAGGCUCGGGAACCUCCCGGAGUGGCCGAGGUGUGCGAGCCCUCGCCCACGAUCACCACGGCAGGCUCGCGGUCGCCCGACGCCGCGGUGGUUUUCUUAGCCGGCCUGGAAGAGGACCCUGCAGUGUCCUUGCGCUUUUUGGGAGCUCUUUUGACCACCUCGACAUCUCCCGAGGUUAUCAGGUCGAAAAUCUUCGUCACUGCAAAGUAGGAGACGAAGUCAGUUAGAAUUCAAGAGGGAUAAACUAAAAGGGAAGAAAUGGAAAAAUACAAAGUCUGUGAAGCCUAGUCGAGAGUAAGACAGGCUGGUCAGAGCUCGUCAAGGCUCAACUGAUCCCGCCUUCCACGAGCACCACUUCGGGAAAAUCCCAGCAGUUUAUCCUGAGGCCCGACCCCGUUAACUUCUGGAAGUUACGCUCUUCUAACUUCCCUGGAGAUAUCUCCUUGAUCGAGGUGGGAGGCCUCCACCAGAAUCCGCGAGGGAAGUCAUCGGCCGAGACGAAGAAGAAGUUUUGCUUCCACUCCUUUAUUGAGUUCGGAGCAUCAACCACCAACUUCGGAACUUUGUUUCCGAAGUAGAACCAUCCUUUUUCACUUCUGCUGUUCUUGAGUGAGUAACAGCGGCGAAAGAGGUUGACCUAAGGUUGUAUCUCCUGAUGUCGGCAAAGUAGCUGGAAGCCAACGAGAAUGCGAAUAGCGUUAGGGGUGAGUUGAGUGAUUCUCACCCCCCAGUACCUCAGGCAGUCCCGAAGAAACCUCGUCGUGGGCACUCUGAGUCCGGCCUCCAGCUGUUCCUGAUAGAUAGUCACCUUGCCCUUUGGUGGCAGUGCGGCUGACUGAUGCGGUUGGGGUAUGUAAAUACUAUAAUCCCUUCUCCAGGGAUACCUGCGGACCACCUCGGCUAUUGAGGCUUGUCCCAUACCACUACUGAAGAACGGCAUCUGGCCGUAGUCGAGAGUUGCCACGUUUGGAGGAGUGGAAGGUUCUUGUACUCCCUCGUCUCUAGGGAUCUCAAUCCCGAGGUCAUCGUUGUAUAGGACCUCGGGCUGGACCUCGAUCUCCUCGGGCUGCACCUCAACCGCCUCAGCUCGGCGUGAUGCCUCGGCACCUCCACCCUCAGCUUGGUGAGAUGCCUCAGCACCUCCGCCCUCGGACGCGGUCCUUUCCUGGGAGGGGUCAGGCCUCUCUGCCUCAGUGAGGUCAGGUCUCACUGUCUCUUUGUGCGUACGAGCUGUUCUAGCCAUUGUAUCAGAAGGGGAAGAAGUGAACUUACUUAGAAUCUGCGACUGGAAGAAGAUGCCGAAGUAGACGUGGUUUAGAAAGGUUGCCGAAGUGAAAAGAGAAAGAAACAGAGUUCUGGGGUGAUUCUUGAUUUUUGGUGAAGAGUAAAACGGUGAAAAAAGACCACUAUUUAUAGGCCACCAGGGUGAAACCCAAGAGACGGCACCCUCUCUCUUCAUUAAUGGGAGGACUGUUCGUCUGCCAACACAGCUGACAGCCGUCCCUUCAGUUAUCACUCAGUCCCAUCUAUGCGGUCAUGACGUGUCCGUGUUCCGUGUUUUAUACGCUUCUCAGCUUCGGGAAGUAACGACCACGGCGGAUGCCCAUCUCGCCCUUCUCAAAGCUUGGGGGGCUUAGUGAGGAGGGCCAUUUAGGCUCGGAGCGCCCGAGGCCUAGUUCCCCAUCAUUUCCUGAAGUGCCGCCUCGGGUAUUAUCCUGGAAGGCGAUCGCGGCCCAUUUACCACCUCGGCUACAAUGUCAAGUCGUAACACCGAGGUGGACAUUGAAUGACAACUACGAAAAGGGGAGAUGUGAUCUCUGACACCUGAGCAAAGGCUGCUCUGACCCGCCGCCUGAAUCUGACAGAAUGUCCCAUCACGUCUCUUCAUGGAGACCGGUCAAGUCCACCUGAUCCACUGACUAUCUCAGAUCUUUUGGGACCCGUGCAAACAUCUCCUCUCUCCUAUCGGUCCCCUAUAAAUACACAAUAUUUCUACUGAAAAAGGGGAUGACCAAUUUCUGGUAAAACACACUCCACUCAUUACUUACUUCUCUAUAUCCGAACUGACUUAAGUUUCGGAGUUAUACCGGGGGAUCCAGCCCCUUUUCUUAUUCAAGCAGGUGACUUCGUCCAAGAGAGUUGCCCAAGGUAAAGAUAUUCUUCGAAUUGAGGUGACUCACUCCUGCGGGUCGAAAAUCACCUCUUCAAAUGGUAGAAAGUUUUCUUAAGAACCAAGAACAGCAUUAGUAUUCCCUCUGCUUCCAAAAACUUGUGUAUUAAAUAGAUUAAUGAAUUGUUUAACAUGCUCAUCUACUUGAAAAUGCACAAUACCCAUAACCCACUGAAAUUUUUGCAGGAAAAGGGAAAGAGAAUCUGUGUUUGAGAGCUUCAUGAAGAUGUUGAAGAAUAAGAAUAAAAGCCCAAUGCGAGGAUGUUUUCAAGUUUUUCUAUGUCCACUUUAAUUUGUAAAUUGAAUUUUACAACUCAAUUAAUUCCUUGUUUGUGAGGUACGUAUUGUUUUACGUACCAUGCCGUACAUGUUUGUAAGGAUUUCUAUCCUAUUGGCAAAAGUCGGUUCCAUACAAUUAAUCAAUUCAUUUCACUUCUAUUGGCUCUACUAUUUAUGCAUGUUACGACACUCUUUCCCUUAUAUUUUGCCUUUAAUAUUAUGAGUCAAUAGUAAUAAUGGGCCUUUUUCUUAAAAUUAUACUAUUAUACAUAGGUAGUUUGGUCUAACGCUAAAUUCAUGUUUGUCUUUCUUUUAUUCCCUUUACAUCUCAAAGUAUACUAUAGUUUGUAAUCAUUGUGGUGAUGAUAUUACCAGCUGGUACUUAUAGUUUAAGGCAGAGACAUGAUAUUAACAACUAUCUCAUUGAAACAUAAGUCAAAAUCAUGACAAGUGUGAGUCUUGGUUAAUGCACAAUUUGUUAGUGGAAUUUAUAUUUAUAAAACUCAAAAAAAAUUUUUGACAAUGCUAUUACUAAUUAAUUAAGGACUUCAUUGCUAUAAUUUAUCGCUUACUAGUUUAAACUAUAAAUGAUCUCAAUACUUUUCUCCAUGAUGUCGAUUUCUUUAGACUACGAAAGGGAAAAAUUAGUGACAUAUCCCUUACUGAUUACAACAUCAGCAAAAAUUAGUUAUAAACUUUUCCGGUGGUUUUAAAUCCCUCGGGCACUAAGGUUUUUUGCACAUCGAGUGAAUUAAGGAACAUAGGCAAUUCGUUCUGCAUACCAAGUCCUUGUUUAAGAUGCACGUACUAAAAUGCAUCCACUUCAUUAAUUUGGAAAAUUGCCAUAGUUUUUUUUAAGCAUUUUGAUUUUUUACAUGAUUCAAAAUUUUCUUAUUGGAUACAAUCACUUUGUGUCAAGAACACAUUUUCAAUCAUCUUUUUUAUCUUCUCAAUAAGAAAAUAAAAAUUUAUUCAUGCUUUUCUAACAUAUCCAAUCAUUGAUCUGAAAAAUAAAGAAUUAAAAAAAAAAGACAUUUUCAAUCAUUGCUUACAGGGCAACUUCCCCAUGUGAACCUCUUCAAACAAAGCCAAUAAUAUGAAGGAACAUCUAAAUACACUUUUGCCCUAAAGGCUGGUUGCCUUGGGGUCAAAAUUUAACCUUCGGGAGUAUAAUUACCCGCCAAAUUUAUUAUUUUUUAUGGGUAUAUAGUUCCAAUUUUGCCUCCUGUUAAGCUUAUAAAUAUAUUACGACCCAGAAAAUAAAGGAAUCUUGAAUAGUAACAUGUCCAUUGACUUGAGUUGUCAUCAAUUUGGCUACUUCGAUUCCAUGAGGCCAAUCCAAUUCACACUAGCUAGAGAAAAUGGUGAUAAAGGCACUUAGAAAUUUAUAUGUAAUAUUGAUUGGUAGUAACUGAUAAGUAUAUAUUUUACGUGUUUUAAAUAUGUUUUAUUAGUUAGUUUUGGUGUGUUUUAACUACUUUUAUAACUAAUUAACUAGGAAUCUAGUGAAAAUAUGCAUUUUGUGGUUUGAAGUGUGAAAAUUGUAUUUCUAUGGAUUUUAAUGGUGAAAACUUCAUGUUUUUGUAGGUUUAAUGAUUCAAUCAUCAAAUGACAUGAUUUGAGAAGAUAAUUAGAUGAUUGAUGAUGUUUUGAAGUGAUAAAAAGAGAAUACAAAGUGCAAGAGAGGAAAUGCAAUCAAGAAUAAAAGAAGAAAAUUUUUGUAGCUUUGACAUAUUGUGGUAUUUUGGCAAUAUAUUGAGCUACAAUGAUUGGAUUAAGGUGAUUCUUAAACCAUUUGAAGCUAAGAUAUAGAUCUACAUUUGGUAUGAAGGCAUCGAAACCCAUGUCAGUCAUUUUCCUUGUCAAAAUGUUGAAAUACAGAAGUGCAACUCUGUUCUCGAAAGCUAAAACAGAGCUCUGGCUAGUCGAGGGUAUUUUCAUCAUUUCUUAGUCCACAGAGCUCCAAAUGAGAUGAUUCUUAAGGCAUUAGAACCCUAACUCAAAGAGCUACAACUUUCAUAUUUUGUACAAGAGUUAGUUCGGCCUCCAUCAUUCAGAAAAUAGUAGUUGAAGUGGUGCCAAAUGCAUAGAAGUGAAAACGCGAGCUAUCAAUACUCGACCUGAAGUCGCGUAUUCCUGAGGUCAUGCAUUCUCUUCUAUUUUCUGCAACUUGCCCUGCUUUCACAUAAUUUUUUCAUCUCAAUUCCAACUAUCAAUUUCGGCUAUAUCUGAUCAAGAAAAGUGUGGAAAGUUUGAAAGACAACUCAUAGGAGUUUCAAGAGUCAAAAAUUACAAUUAGAAACAACUCAUUUGGCUCUUGAAUCCUCUAUAAAUAGAGGCCUUUGAAGAACAUUUUCACAACUUUGGAAGGUUAGAGAAACUCCACAAAAACAUAGUCUUCACUAGAAUUUCCUUAGUUCAUUAGUUAGGGUAGUAUAGUAUAGUUAGUGUAGCUUUUCCUUCUUGUAUUUAUAGUUAGGUUUGAAUGAAGAUUCAGGAGCAAAGAUAGAGAGGUUGAUCUCAUGUGACAAGGGUGAUAUCUCUUCUACUACUUUCUCUUUUGUAUUUGAUUUCAUAUUUAACUAUACUACAAAUUUGGCUUUGUUUUUUUUUUUUAUCAUGUUUAGUUAAAGUUUAUGCCUAGAGUAUGGAUGACCUUUCUAUAUCUUGUUUGUGAUAUUUAACUGGUUAUUUGAUGAUGUUAUUUUUGAGCAAGUUAUUUAUCACUUUUGCUUUUCUAAUCGUGAUUAACUGGCCAUUAGUUGUGAUUAUCUAAAAGUGUUAAGUUUGUAAUGAGAAUUGGAGUUUAACACUAGUUCAAGGAAGUGAUAAAUUUAGGGAGUUCACUCAUGAGAGUAGAGGAACACCUUUGUGACCUAAGUGACUUGUUUCAUAUAAUUUCAUAGAAAAAAUGAACUUGUAAUUAAUUUCAUAACCACGAGAGUAAGUAUGGUUUAGCUAUAUGUAUAGUUGAUUCACUACGAGAGUAGGUUUCACAUACAUUAGAAAAUUACAUCAUAACUAGUCAAGAUAAUAUCAUUCAUUUAAUCAGUAAUCUCAUUUGCAUGAGUAGUAAGGCAUUCCAUAUCUCUAGGAGGUUUUUAGUAUUAUUUUCAUUACUUUUAUGUUUAUGGUAGUCUAGAUAAUAAUGGAGUUCAAAAACUACUAGUAAUUGAAAAUUUUCCCUGUGGGAUCGACCUUUAAUACCCUAUACUCGCUCUCGACUCGUAUACUUGCGAAAAAUCACGUGUGCGGUAUUUAGAAUUUAUAAAUGUAAAACUUGACUGUAGAUGAACUAAUUGAUAUAUGUAUACCCCGCACUCGUCAGUAACCAGCUUGUAUUGAUCCCAUUAUUGUGGAUAAUUGUGCUCUUAUGAAAAAAAAUUAUAAAAAAAUUAGCAAAAUUUAUGAUAACAAAUUAAAUUUAUUCAUACAAAUCAGUGAAAGAAGUAGAAUUUUAAAGACCAUGAUGAAAUUAAUACUUUCAAGGGCUCUAUUAGGAAGACUUCACUUGUUGGUGAAACUACACUAGCACAGUUAUAUGCACAUUUACUGUUUUGGUAUCUAAUUUCCUUGCCUUAAGUUGGGUGCAGAUGUUUAUAUUACAAAUAGAUGGUAUCAUAAAAUUGUUGUAUUCACGUUUGUUCUUUUUUUUUCUUCCUUAAGUUUUUUUCUUUAUUCUCGUGACUUCAAAAAUACGAACUCAAGAAAUUGGCUGCUUAAUCAAUAUGUCAUACAGGCUUCGCUAGUGAGGUAUAACUUCACAACUAGAGUCAAUAGAAAUUAUCAAAUGAUUUUUUAACAUCCAAAUUAAGCAAUAAAUUUUGUUUUCAUUUUAUGACAUAUAAUAGUACUACUUCAUGAGAGAUUUUAUAGUUUCUUUUAGGUAUCAUACCUACAAGUGAUAUUUGUCAUUGGAUAGUGACAGAAGUGUUAAUGAUUGUAAGAUUAAAUAUUGUUAAAUAUUGAAAUUUAAACUAUUUAUCUUUAUUGAAAGAUACAAGUUAAAGAAUCGUUCAAGGGGGCAAUUUUCCAUCUUGUCUUUUUGAAAAAACGCUAUCACAUUGUAUAGGCAUGAUAGGUUCAAAUUUGUCAUUAAAUUUAUGAUUGAUUUCCCUUUUAUUCAAGCCAAAUAUUGUUUUAAUUAUCAAAUUCUACUUAUAUUUGGUUAAUUGUACUAAUUGUAGGGCGGUAGAGCAAAAGUUGCUAAAAAUAGGUGAUUUUCUGCAAAUUGGUUGUCAAGGCUGAAGGAUUUGGGAUUCGCAUGUUCAAGGCCUGUUUCCAAGUUUGAUUCAAACUCUGGACAGUUUUAGAGGAAGAUUUGGAAGAUUUGAAAUUUCAUUAUUAGUUUUAUGGUUGAAUUAGGAAUCUUGGAAUAAUUUCUUUUGUGAUUUAUUUUUCUAUUUAGGAGACUAGUUGUUAUUUAGUAGUAGACUUCAAUUAGAAAACAAAGAGAAAAAGAAGGCCGGAAUCCCGCUUGAUUAAUACCUUGGCCAGGGAACAAUCUCGGUGGGGAGGACGGCCACUUAGCCUCUCAAUUCAUCUUGCUUUUCGUUAGUUUGAGAGGAAAACCAAUUGCAACUAGAUUCAAUGGAGUCUGGCAGAAUUUCUUCUAGGAUGCGUAGCUAAAUCCUCAAUUUUUAGUCGAAGGUCAAUUUGAAAAUUCGGUUCCAAAUAUCUGUGAAAUCGAAUUAUUUUACUUAUUUCUUUUAUUUAUUGGUAUUCGCACGUUUUCUGAUUUAACUUUUUAUGAUUGUUUUGUUAUUUGAAUGUCAAGGGUCCGAUAUUCGAAUUAACUUAAUAAUCUACUGCCAAAUUAACCGGUUAAAUCCGUAAUUGUUUGAUUGAUUAAUAUCAGUGGCGACUAGCGUGAUUGGUCCCAUGUUAGGAAAACGUCUGAUCUAAUUUAAACAAACCGUCGUAGCGUGUUUGUUGAUUAGGGUUGGACUUUUCUAAUUCUUAAUUCAAUUGAGAAAUUAAAUCUCCCGGUCGUACCUAAGAUUAUUUUUUUGUUAGCGAAAUAGUUAAUGGUCGUACCUUGACUAUCGAAAAAGUAAGGAAGAGUUGAUUGUUUAUCGCGUGUACGACAACUAUAAUCAAUCUAUUAAUGAGUAAUUGAAUUAUCUUUGCAUCAGUAAUCAGUUGAAUGGACCGUGUCUGAAAAGUUGUACCUUUGGCUAGAGUCUUAUCUGUUGUUGAUUCAUUCAUAUCUAUCUUCAUGCGUUGUUUUAAUUUAGUUAAUUAGUUAUUUUUAUAAAAACCCCUCAUCUCUGGACUCUAAAAGAAAUAAAUUAUUUCUAGUUCCUGUGGAUUCGAUCCUACUCACCGCUAUAUACAAAAUUUGUAUUUUUUUGAAUAAAUAAUUAUUAUUACACAGGCUUGACACCUGUCAAGGCAAAAUUUCCUUAACUUCAUCAUCUGUAGACGUAAACUUUCUACGGGUGAUAUAAUAUAAGGAAAUUUUGCCUAUACGAUGUGAUAGCAUUUUUUCAAAAAAGACAAGAUGGAAAAUUGCUCCCUUGAACGGAAAAAAUCAUGAUCUUUCCUCAAACUAGUCUACUAGUCAAUUCUUUACAAAAGAAUACUCGCUCCUAAACAUAGCCUGUUCAUCUACACUGUCCCGCAGAAUUCUAGAAAGUUAGGCAAAACUAGACAAGUUGACAGGUAUAAUCAUACCCAAGAUCAGGAACAAGCAGUUGCACAUUUCAAAAUUCGCUGCUGCAACAGCUAAUUUGAUGACUUACAACACUACACGGUCAAACUUUGAAUGGCAAUGGAUCUUUUGUUGUACGUCAUGAUGUAAUUUUCAUGUUACAUACAUUAAUAGGUUGAUAUCUAUAUUCUUUAAAUUAUCAUGAUAAUACCCUUAAUUAGAUUUAACUGAUAAAAAGAACACGUGUUAAUAUACAAAAGUGUGUAACGUGAAUGUUACAUUACUGUAUUGCAGAAGACCUAUAGUCUCUUCAUAUCUCUUCCUGCACGUAUCAAUUCGUUUCCUCUAGAUAAUAAUCUCCCAACUCGUUUCUUUACAAAUGCACCUUUUAUGUUUUAUUACCUCCAAAAGCCUUUACAGGGUCUUUACCCUAAAAAUCAAUUCACCGACUCGCAUUUGAUGUCAGAAAUUCUUAAGACGAAUUCUACUUUACUCAAAGAUUGACUGUUAAUAAUGAGACAGCGACCAUUUUGUAUUAUUAGACCGUCCUUCUUGAUAGGUAAAAGAAAUAGAGAGGAAAGUGGGUCCGUAUAUGGUCUUUUAUUCAUAGAUAAUACAACAUUACGCCAUCGAGCAUUCACACAAUAUUUCAAAGUCAUAGCAUGCCUAAGGCCCUGUUUGAUAGCUCAAUUUCGUAAUUAAAUUUAAUAGAUUCAAAUUUUAACACAUUUAAAUCAUUUGAUAACAAAAAAUUGAAUAUUUAAAUUAAUUAAGUAACACUGAACUUUCUAAACAAAACUUGCUUUCAAAAUUAAGUGAUAAGUUAUUCACUUAUCUUUGAAUGUGAUAUGCACUCAAAUAUAUUAAAUUUAAUAAUUUAAUGGAUUCAGAUUUCAGAUUUCAGUUUUAUUACACACCCUAAGUUGCAAAAUAAUACCAAAACUUGUUAUUAUAUAGCUUGAGAUUCAAAAAUUUAGAGCAUAAUUCUCAACCUAACACAAUCGAAUAAUGAAUAUUCACGAUUGUUUCAAAGUACAAUUUGAGGACAACCCAUUCCAACGCGUACACGAUUUUUAACUUUUCUAAAGUUGUUGAGAGCUGUUAAAAGAGAUUUACCAUGUUUACAUCUUCCAAGUCUUGGAAGUGAAAAAUGAAGCCACUGAGUGCUAUAAAAAGGGGGCUAGAGGCUGCCUAGAAGCAUAUCAGCCUAAAACAAGAAUUUGUAGUAACAAUGGGGAGCAAAGCAAAAGCAACGGGGUCUAGGCUGACUCCUCUUCUUACCACUGUUUUAGUGGUAUUUGUCGCCCUUGGCUUGCCCUUGGAAACUGCAGCUGAUUAUUACAAGUAUUCAUCUCCUCCUCCUCCUCCUUACCACUAUUCUUCACCACCACCUCCAGUGUAUUCACCUCCACCAACCCCUGCUUAUAAGUUACCCCCACCAUCUCCUCCAGUUUACAAGUCCUCACCACCACCUUACCACUACUCACCACCUCCGGUGUAUUUACCUCCACCAUCUCCAGUUUACAAGUCACCACCACUACCCCCUCCGGUAUACAACUCCCCGCCUCCACCAGUGUACAAAUACAAGUCCCCACCACCACCUCCUCCAGUUUACAAAUCUCCAUCGCCACCAGUUUACAAAUACAAGUCACUCCCACCACCUCCUCCGGUAUACAAGUCUCCUCCGCCACCUGUUUACGAGUACAAGUCUCCUCCACCACCUCCUCCAGUGUACAAGUCCCCACCACCUCCAGUUUACAAGUACAACUCACCUCCACCUCCUCCCCCAGUUUACCUGUCUCCACCUCCACCCUAUCAUCACUACUACGGUUCUCCUUCUCCUCACCACUACUAAGCAAGUGCAUAAGUUUUGAGGUAAUAAUACCUAUCCAAAACUUUAUCAACACAAACUGCCAUGUAUAUUAUCAUGCUAAGGACGUACACUUGAUCCAUGAAAAUGACUAGUAGAAGAUUUUUUUUAAGAACCAAAGAAAUACAUUAUUUUUUCGGUCUGUUUUCAAGAAUUUGAGCAGUAUACAGAUUAAAGAGUGUUUUUUUUUUUGUAAACUUGCUUGUCAACUUAAAAAUGCACAUAGCUGAAAGCCAACUGAAUAUUUGCAGGCAAAGGAGAAGGCAAUCGGUGUUUGAGACCUUCAAGAAGAUGUAGAAGAAUAAGAAUAAAAGCCCAAUGCGAGGAUGAUUCCAAGUUUCUACGUUACCAUUUCUACAUCUAAAUUGACUUUAGCUCCUGAGUUCCAUGUUUAUGGGGUUUGUACCGUUUUACGUACCAUGCAGUACAUGCUUGCAAGGUUUUCUGUCCUGUUGGCAAACUGCAGGUCCAUAUAAUAAAUGAAUACUAUUUACAUUACGACACUUUUCUCUUUUUCUCUUAUAUUUUGUCUUUAAUAUUGUUGAUCAUUUUUUUUUUAUCAAAAGCAUCAAAUGCUUAGGUAAUUUGGUCUAAUGCUAAUUGUUUUACUUUUAUUUUUCACCUACACCCCUUUUCAACUCAAAGGAUGCUAUAGUUUGUGAUAAUUGUUUAAGACCGAAGCAUGAUACUAAUAAAUAUCUCAUUGAAAGUCAAGGAAACUAACAUUAGGAAAAGUUUAAAUCUUGAUUUGAUGAAACUAUUUAUUCGUGGAAUUUAGAGAUACAAAACUCAAAUUGUGACGGUGUUGUUGCUAAAUUAUUAAGGACAUUAUCACCAUUAUUUUUCCCUGAUCACUAGUUUCAACUGCAAUGAUCUCAAUCUUUUUGUGACUAAUUCUUUCCUUAAUAAUUUAUAAAGACAAAACUCACAAAGAAUAUGUGACUAAUUCUUUCCUUUCGUCUUCUAAAGAAAAUGCCAACUGUUAGUUUAUCAAGGGGAAAAAGGAUCGACAUCAGUUAUUAUUGAAACUAGUAAGGAAUAAAUAAUGGUGAUAAUGUCCUUAAUAAUUUAACAACAGCACCAUCAGAAUUUGACUUUGAGCUUCGGUCUUAAACAAUGAUCACAAACUACAGCAUCCUUUGAGUUGAAAAAGGAAGUAGGUGAAAAGAAAAGUAAAAAAUACAAUUAGCAUUCCCUCAAAUUGUAGAAAGUUAGGUAGCAUUAUAGACAAGUUGAUAGCGGCAAUUUUACAUUUCAAACUUCACCUAUUCAAUAACUAAUUCGAUGGCUUGCUACAUGGUCAAUCUUUGGACCCCUUCCUGCCUCCAGAUAUCCCUUUCCUCAAUCAGGGGCUUCUACAAUUACCAGUUUCAAUUGUAUGGUAUAGUGUAAAUAUCAACAAAUUAGAUGUAGAUGCUAACAUAAUAAAUGUGAAUGCUAAGACAGCAACAUACAAUCGAACCUGCAAUUGUAUGAACCCCAAUCUCGCUUCCUAGUCCACCAUCUUUCUCUAGGUAAUAAUCUCCCUUCUAAUUUAUUCACAAAAUGCACCUUUCAUCACCUCCAAUAGCGUCGACAUGAUCUUUACCCUAGAAGACUAUUCACCGACUCUCAAUUGACGUCAGAAAAUCUAAGAGUAAUUCUACUUUACCCUAAGAUUGAUAUCAACAAGACAAGGACAAUUUAGAAUUAUUACACGCCUCUUCUUAAUAGGAAAAAGAAAUAGAGAAGAAAGUCAGGCCAGGUCUAAUUUCUUUUCAAAGGCAAUACAACAUUACGAAAUCAAGCAUUCAUUCAUACAAAUAUUUCAUAGUCACCGGUUUGCUGAGUAGAAAAAUUUAGACAAAAACUUAAUAUUAUAUUGUUUAAGAGUUAACAAUUUAGAGCUUAAUCUCCUUGUACUUUGGAGUUAACAAUUUAGAGCUUAAUCUCCUUGUACUUUGGACUAAACUUGAACGUGAAAGGAAAUCCCAAAACCAUAUUGGGCAUGAAUUCACACUUAAUAUACCCAAUAAAAGAUGGCGACUGGUGAAAGGCAGUGGAGACUGGUGGAGAGAUUUGAGGAAUAGAAGCAGACGGAAAAGCAACAAAUUUUUGCCGAAAAACGGUCACUUUCAUGGUUAAUUUUGCUACUCUCCAAUUGUACUUGACCAAUUACAACAAUUUCAUGGAGUUUGAUACGUGAAAAGAAUUUUUUAUAAAUUUUAUUUUGAUCCAUAAUGUUAUCUUUACAUAUAUAAAACAUUUUACAAUUUUGAUUUUGGCGCAGCUAACUUUUGGUUAACAAAAAUGCUCAUGUUUAAAAAACCAGAAAUAAAACAAAACAAGAAACAAAAGAAAUAAGAGGGUAGCAUAGACAUUUUGGAUUUUUCCGUUAAUUUGGAUGAUUUCCACCCACGUUCUAAUUUAAUCCAAAACACAAAGGAAUUACGUAGAGGUUUUAAAUAAUGAGGGAGCUUCAUGAUCGAACCCCAAACCACAAGGCGAUUUACUAUAUUUUACUCUUAAAUUUUGGUUUCAUCUCAUAGCAUACAAGAGUUCUAUUUCACUAUCUGUAGACAAAGACUUUCUAUGGUUGAUGUACCAUAGGAAAAAAUCUGCCUAUACAACGUGAUAGCAUUUUUUCAAAAACACAAGAUGGAAAAUUGCCCCUUAAACGGGGAAAUUCAUGAUCUUUCGUCGAACAAAGAAUACUCACGCCUAUUCAAGAUGGAAAAUUGCCCCCUUAAACGUCUAUUUGUCAAUUCUUGAAAAAAGAAUACUCACGCCUAAAACACGGCCUCUUCAUCUGCAGAAUUCUAAAAAGUUAGGUAAACUCUAUAAACAAGUUGAUAGGUACAAUCGUACCCAAGAUCAAGUACAGAUAGUUGUACAUUAACUGCUGCAAUAACUAAUCUGAUGACUUAUAAACAUAUCAUGGUCAAUCGUUGAAUGGUAAUGAGUCUUUUGUUAUGCAUUAGUAUUAGUGUGUACACUCUAAUAGAUUGAUACUUAUACUCUUUAAAUUAUCAUAAUAAUACCCUUAAUUAACUUUAACUCUUAAAAAGAAUACAUGUUAAUACACGAGUGUGUGUAACCUGAAUUGUUACUUAUAAAUUAGUGUGUAAUAGAUAGGGAUGGCAAUGGGGGCGGGUGCCCGCGGGGGGCUCUCGGGGCGGGGGUUGGGGCGGGGGGGAAUUUUUUCCCCCCGUUUAGAAAUGGGGCAGGGGACGGGGGAGUAUACCCCCGCCCCAUCCCCCGCAAAAAAAAAAUUAUAUAUAAUAUGUAAUUUAAUUAGUUAUAAACUUAUGAUAAUGAUAUUAUUAGUUAGAUGUAUUAUAUAAUGUAUAUUAGUGUAUGUAAUAUAAUUAAUAUUAUCAAUUAUAUGAAUAAUUAGACAUGUCUACUAAUAGAAUUUAUGAAUUAGUUAUACUAAAUUUACUAAUACAUUUAUACUAAAUUUCUAAUUACACUUAAUAGAAUAACACUUUUUUCUAAAACAAAAAAGCACAAACACAAUAAUGAAUUAGUGAUUGUAUGAUAGGGUGUAAUUUUACUAUUUAUUUUAUUAUUAAUUUCCCCUAUCACCUGACCUGAUGUGGAUUAAUUGCUGGAUUCUGCUCACUUUUAGUACUUUGUAUUUAUUUCAGGGAGUAGAACGGAAAUUUGAUAACAGGUGCUAAUUUGGCAGAAAAAGAGUCCAGAUGAUAGAGCUUGCCCCAAGGGCAUUUUUGGAAAGGAGAACUUGUGCCCAUCUUGGUAAUUUGGGAGAAAAGGGAAACAGACAAAAUGGGUCUAACAUGGAUUGGAAGCGGCCGCACAGUAGCAGGGAAGAGGGCAGACGUAAAAGCAAUUGCAGGGGGGAAAAGGAGUUUUUUUAGUUUUUAGCUUAGCAUCUGAUUUUCCCUGGGAGACUUUUGUUAAAGAUUUCCUUUUGGCUGAUAUUACGCAUGGCAGAUGGCUUUUAACUUAUUCCUCCAUCUUUGACUUUUCUUCUUUAGCUUGUGGCAGUGGAUUGCUACUUACGAAUGUCAGCACUUAGCCAUUCGUGGCUUUUGAUCUUUUCUUCCUUAGAAAUUCUGAGUAACCUCUUUUCCUUUGUGCGCCAGACGAAGUGAAAACUAUAAACUUUUGUAGUUUUUCUAUUCAUUCAAUAUAUUGAGACGAGUUGGAUUCUACCAAAUUUCAACGGACAUGGCCGCUGGUUUCUCUUCAAUUUUAUAUGGGCUUUGUUCAUCCAACAUGAACUAAUUUCACCACUCUAGUCAAGGAGCAACGAAGGCUCUGAUUUGCCUAAAAAUUGUGAGAUCGUUUUAAUUUAAUCUUUUCCUUUUAUUUAUUGGUAUCCGCACAUUUCUUGAUUGCUAUGCUUAUGGUUAUUUAAUUAAUUGAUUGUCUUGGAUCCAGAUAAUUAAUUGAUCUGAUAGCCUAUUGUCAAUUAGGGCAUUUAAAUCCGUAAUUGUUUAAUUGUCCUGAAAUAGUGACAACUGGCACGAUUAGAUUCGUGCCAGGGGGGAUAUGCGGGCUAAUCUAAAAUAACCCUGGUAGUGUGUUAUUUGGUUAGAAUAGGGCUCCUCUAAUACUAAGGCAAUUGGGGAAUUAAAUUCUACGGGCGUACCUAGGAUUAUUUCUUAAUUAGAGCAGUGAUUAACGGGCGUACCUUGAUCACCGACACAGUAAGGAGGGGUUGACCGUCAUCGCUUGUUUGGCAGUUAUAACCUAUUUAUCAGUAAAUAAUUGGGAUUGCCUUGCAUCAAUGAUCAAUUAGGUGAACCAUUGUUGAAGUUACUUCUUGGUUAGAUCUUUAGUUAAUAUUACCUUGAUUUUGGUGAAUUGCCAUUUGAUUUUUAGUUGCCUACUUUAUUUUAUUUUUAAUUGUUUCCUUGCUUUAAUUGAGUUAGGCCUUUAAUUAUUGUUAUUCUAAGUUUAGUGAAUUGUGGUUUAAUUCCUAAUUAGUUAUUUAUUUUUACUUUCUUAUUUGAAUUUAUUUGCUUGUUAUCAUUCCUACGAAAUCACCCCCCUGUGUUACUUUGGAUUUCUUAAGAAACAAAUAUACCCAAUCCCUGUGGAUACGACCCUACUUGCUCUGUUCACGAAUUCAUAAUUAUUUGUGAAAAGAAAUAACCAUUCCACUCGGGUAUAUCGGAUCAAGCAAAUUCUUCGGGAACAGGGUGAAUCAAGUAACCCAAUGCACACCUAGAGUCCCUGCUCCAGUACUUGGAAUUGGGUUUUGGUCAUUUUAACUGGCAAUUAGGUUUAAUUUUAUUAUUGCACAGGCUGACGACCCUGUCAAUUUUUGGCGCCGUUGCCGGGGACUGGCGUUAUUAUUUGUUUCUUUUUAAAUUCAUUCUUUGUCCUAAUUUUCUGGUUUUCUUCUAGUGUAUGCCUCGAUCUUCUCGUACAGGUAAUUUGAUUUUUGACCCUGAGGUAGAGAAGACCGCAUGUAGAACGAGAAAGGAAACCAGACAGCUCAGAGAAGAGCACUCCAGUGCUACAUCUCAGAGACCCGAGUCAGAAGUUGAACUAACAGAUUCGUUUGGUAACACUUCGAGUGACUCUGACCAGGAGGAAGACACCAUGGCUAAUGCACGAACAUUAAGGGAGUUGGCUGCUCCUGAUUUAACUCAGCAGCCUUUAUGCAUUACUUUCCCCACUUUAAAUGAUAACAUUCCAUUUGAACUAAAAUCUGGUCUGAUUCAGCUUUUACCCUCUUUUCAUGGUUUACCAGGUGAAGAGCCGUAUAAGCAUCUGCAGGAGUUUGAUGUCGUGUGUAAUAGUAUGAAACCCUCGGGAAUCACAGAAGAGCAGAUAAAAAUGAGGGCAUUCCUCUUCUCCUUGAAAGAUUCUGCGAAGGACUGGCUGUACUACCUGUCACCAGGUAGCAUCACCACGUGGGACCAAUUGAAGAAAAAAUUUUUGGAUAAAUAUUUUCCUGCGUCCAGGGCUGCAAGUCUAAGGAAAGAAAUUUGUGGGAUCAAGCAGCAUCCAGGGAAGUCACUUUAUGAGUAUUGGGAACGGUAUAAGAACUUGUUGCGCAGGUGCCCCCAACACCAAAUAAGUGAGCAAUUGAUCAUACAGUAUUUUUAUGAGGGGCUCCUUUUUAGAGACAGGAGCAUCAUUGAUGCCAGGGGGGAGGGUUGGGAUGGGUGGUACGGGGGGAGGGAGUGUAAGCAAGAGGUCUCGGGUUCGAGUCCUCCCGCUUACACACAAAAAAAAAGAUGCUGCAAGUGGAGGGGCACUGGUAAACAAAACCCCUCAGGAAGCACGGGAGUUAAUAGAGGGGAUGGCAGAGAAUUCACAACAAUUCAGUACAAGAGAGGAUGUCCCAAUACGUAAGGUGAAUGAGGUAGAGACACCCUCUAUGCAGCAGCAGCUAACUGAGUUGACCGCGUUUGUUAGGCAACUGGCUGUGAGAAAUGCAUCACAAGCCAGGGUGUGCGGGAUUUGCACUGGUAUGGGUCAUUCUGCAGACAUGUGCCCAAUGAUUCAGGAAGAAACUGCAGAACAGGUGAACAUGGCUGACCACGCGCCCGCGCCAAGGAAGCAGUACGACCCUUACUCAAGCACCUACAACCCCGGGUGGAGAGAUCAUCCCAACCUCAGUUAUGGAGAAAAUAGGCAGCCCAACAUUACACCGAACAGGCAGUCUAACUUUGUGCCAAAUAGGCCACCAGGGUACCAGCAGCAAUAUCAACCCCGACCACCUCCGUCCCCAAGCUCUGGCCCAUCUUUGGAGGAGAUGAUGAAACAAAUGAUGACAACUAUGGCUCAAAAUCAGCAAAUGACGGAGGCAACCAUUAUGCAAAAUCAGCAAAGGACGGACUCCGAAAUGAAGGAUAUAAGGAAUCAGAUAAGUCAAAUGGUCACAACAAUCAACCGUUUGGAUUCCCAGAACCAAGGUAAAUUGCCAUUUCAGCCCGAAUUAAAUUCGAAGAACGUGAGCGCAAUGACCCUAAGGAGCGGGAAAGAAAUUCAGGGGUCUGAACCUGUGAUCCCUAAGGAUAAGGAUGAGGAAAAGAUCGAAAAUGAGCUUGAAAGGGAGGACAGCAAUGGUGCAGAUCUAAAGGUACUUCCUGACCCAAUAAUUACAGCUAAAACUAACCCGCCUCCUUUUCCUAGCAGGUUGGAAAAAUCGAAAAAAGAGGAUAAGGAGAAGGAGAUCUUGGAGGUUUUUCGCAAGGUUGAGAUAAAUAUCCCCCUCUUAGACGCAAUCAGACAAGUACCAAAAUAUGCCAAGUUCCUAAGGGACUUGUGUGUCAACCGAAGGCAGUUGAGGGAAGAUGAACGGGUUAUUGUUGGGGAGAAUGUGUCAGCAGUCCUGCAGAGAAAGCUCCCACCAAAGUGCGGGGACCCAGGUAUGUUUACUAUUCCCUGUAGGAUAGGUAAUACUGUGAUAGAAGGGCCAUGUUGGAUCUGGGAGCAUCAAUUAAUCUCAUACCUAAAUCUAUCUAUGCUUCUCUAAAAUUAGGUCCAUUAAAAGAAACUGGAAUAAUCAUUCAAUUAGUUGACCGAACUAAUGCAUAUCCUGAUGGGUUGGUUGAAGAUGUGUUGGUAAAAGUUAAUGAUUUGAUGUUUCCAGCUGAUUUUUAUGUACUUGAUAUGGAUGAUGAUCACUCCCCUGAUCCCUCACCUCUGUUAUUGGGUAGACCCUUUAUGAGCACAGCACAGACGAAAAUUGAUGUUAAUAAGGGUAUCUUGUUCAUGGAGUUUGAUGGGAAAAUUGUGCAUUUCAAUAUCUUUGAUACUAUGAAAUAUCCCUCAAACUCCAACUUUAGCACAGUUUUCUCUGUGAGUGCUAUUGACCCUGUAGUGCAGGAAGUGUUUGAAACUGAUGGCAGGGAUGAGUUGGAGGUGGCUUUGACCAAGCACCUCGAGUUGGAGACAACUCCUGAGGUGGAAUGGAGCGAGGACCUAAAAUGCACAAUAGGUGCAUUACACUCAUUGCAGUCCACCACGAAAAGGUAUGAAGUCUUACCUAUUUUUACUCCCGAACCUCACCAGAGGGUGUUGCCAUCUGUGGUGCAGGCACCUGUACUAGAAUUUAAACCUCUAUCAGAGCACCUGAAAUAUGCAUAUCUGGGUGAUAAUGAGACACUCCCGGUGAUUAUCUCAUCGACACUGUCAAAAAUCCAGGAGGAGAAACUGAUCCGGGUCCUUAGAGAGCAUAAAGAGGCGAUAGGUUGGACAAUCGCAGAUAUUAAGGGGAUCAGCUCGGCCAUCUGUAUGCACCGGAUUAGACUAGAAGAGGAUGCCAAACCUGUUAGGCAGGCUCAAAGGAGGCUCAACCCCCUAAUGAUGGAAGUUGUAAAGAAAGAAAUUUUAAAAUUGCUAGAUGUGGGGAUUAUUUUUGCAAUAUCAGAUAGCCCUUGGGUAAGCCCGAUCCAGGUAGUCCCAAAGAAGGCAGGGGUGACGGUGGAGGCAAACCAAACGGGUGAGCUCGUGCCAGUGCGCAAACCCACUGGAUGGAGGCAGUGUAUAGACUACCGUAGGCUAAACGCCGUCACCAAAAAGGACCAUUUCCCUCUCCCUUUCAUUGACCAAAUGGUUGAACGUUUAGCUUGUAGAGCUUAUUAUUGCUUUUUGGAUGGAUUUUCAGGAUACUUUCAGAUAGCAAUUGCUCCAGAGGAUCAAGAGAAGACAACCUUCACGUGCCCGUUCGGGACCUUUGCUUAUAGACGAAUGCCAUUUGCGUUGUGCAAUGCACCUGCAACAUUCCAGAGGUGUAUGGUAAGUAUUUUUUCUGAAUAUGUGGAGAAAAUUAUUGAAGUUUUCAUGGACGAUUUCAGUGUGUAUGGUGAUAGUUUUGAUACGUGUUUAGAUAAUCUGAAAUUGAUCCUGAUAAGGUGUAUAGAGACUAAUCUUGUGCUUAAUUGGGAAAAAUGUCAUUUUAUGGUUGAGCACGGGAUAGUCCUGGGUCAUAUUGUAUCGUCUAAGGGCAUAGAAGUUGACAAGGCUAAAAUAGAUAUUAUUUUUGCAUUACCUUACCUCGCGAGUGUGCGGAAGGUGCGUUCUUUUCUUGGACAUGCAGGUUUUUAUCGAAUGUUCAUCAAGGAUUUUUCAAAAAUUGGAGCCCCGUUAUUCCAACUCCUACAAAAGGAUGUGACCUUCGAAUUCGAUGAUAAGUGUGAGGAAGCCUUCAACAAGUUGAAAGAAUUGUUGACCUCACCCCCAAUUAUCCAGCCCCCUGAUUGGAGUCUACCAUUUGAGAUCAUGUGCGAUGCCAGUGAUCAUGCCGUAGGGGCUGUAUUGGGGCAAAGAGUAGGGAAGGCAGCUCACGUCAUCUACUAUGCAUCCCGAGCAUUGAAUGGAGCCCAAUUGAAUUACUCCACUACUGAAAAGAAGCUUCUUGCAGUUAUUUUUGCUUUAGAAAAAUUCAGGUCAUAUUUGCUAGGUGCUAAAGUAAUUGUAUUUUCUGACCAUGCAGCAUUAAGGUACCUAAUGACCAAGAAAGAUGCCAAACUGAGGCUCAUUAGGUGGAUAUUGCUACUGCAGGAAUUUGACCUGGAGAUACGGGAUAAAAGGGGCUCAGAGAAUUUAGUAGCUGACCAUCUGAGUCGUAUACCCGUUGGAGAGGAUAAUGAACCAUUGAGGGAUGCGUUCCCUGAAGAGCACUUAUUUUCUUUAAAUUCUCAGUUGCCUUUGUAUGCCGAUCUGGUCAAUUAUUUGGUAACUGGUAAUUUUCCUGCAGGUUGACCAAAAUCGAAGAGGGAUAAAUUGAAGAGCGACGCCAAGUAUUUUAUUUGGGACGACCCGUACCUAUGGAAGAGGUGUGCAGAUCAAGUGAUGCGGAGAUGUGUAAGUGAAAUGGAAUUUCAAUCGAUUUUAGCUUUUUGUCAUACUUUUGCCUGUGGAGGUCAUUUGGACCCAAGAGAACUGCUCAUAAGGUUUUAGAAAGUGGAUUUUAUUGGCCUUCAUUGUUUAAGGAUGCCUAUGUGUUUUGUAAGUCAUGUGAUCGCUGUCAAAGGGUAGGUAAUAUACCCCGUAGAGAUCAAAUGCCCCAAGUCCCGUUGAUUUUUAUUGAAAUUUUUGAUGUCUGGGGUAUAGAUUUCAUGGGGUCUUUUCCUACUUCAUUUGGUUUUUUAUAUAUUUUGCUGGCAGUUGAUUAUGUGUCUAAAUGGGUGGAGGCUAAGGCCACUCGAACUAAUGACUCGAAAGUAGUUGCAAAUUUUGUCAGGUCUAAUAUUUUUGUGCGAUUUGGAAUGCCUAGUGCUAUUGUCAGUGAUAGGGGAACGCACUUUUGCAACAAAAUCAUAGCUGCGUUGUUUCGCAAGUAUGGUGUACUCCAAUGGGUCUCAACGUCGUACCACCCUCAGACCAAUGGUCAAGCGGAGGUGUCGAAUCGAGAGAUCAAGUCUAUCUUGGAGAAAAUGGUGCGCCCCGAUAGGAAAGACUCGAGUCAAAGGCUGGAGGACGCACUUUGGGCCUAUCGGACGGCGUACAAGACUCCUAUAGGGAUGUCACCGUACAGGUUGGUAUUUGGGAAGCCGUGUCACCUUCCAGUGGAGUUUGAGCACAAAGCUUUUUGGGCGAUAAAGUAAUGCAACAUGAAUUUAGAGGAAGCCGGUGCCCAACGAAAGUUGGAUUUGCAAGAAUUAGAAGAGAUCCGGAACGAGGCUUACGAAAAUGCACUAAUUUAUAAGGAGAGAAGCCGGAUAUUUCAUGAUCAACAAAUUUCAAGAAAAUCCUUUGAAGUUGGUCAGAAGGUCCUACUAUACCAAUCCAGGCUCAAGCUAUUCCCAGGUAAACUACGUUCCCGUUGGAUUGGACCUUUUCUUGUUACUCAUGUUUUUCCAUAUGGUGCAGUUGAAAUCCGGAGCGCUAAAACAGACAACAAAUUUGUGGUGAAUGGACACCGUCUCAAGCAUUACUACGAAGGAUUUUCAGGUGAAAAGGUGGAGACAAUAAGUCUAGACGCGCCACCGUGUCCUAAUCAGUGACAUUUUACUAUGUCUAGCCAAAGACAUUAAAGACAGGCGCUCAUUGGGAGGCAACCCAAUUGUCCCUUUUAAUUAUUUGUUUGAUUUCGUGUGAUAGUUUAAAUAUGUUUUCCUUGAAUUCGACUGAUUUUGGGUUUCAGUUUUCGUUUUUGCUGAAUUGUAGGUGACCUUCAGUCUUGACGCGCCCGCGUGAUGACAUGCAGGAAGCUCACGAUCAGAAUCGUCUGAAAGCUCUCUUGCCCUUUUGACGCACCCGCGUGAUGACGUGCAGGAAGCUCACGAUCAGAAUCGUCUGAAAGCUCUCUUGCCCUCUUGACGUGCCCGCGUCACGUUCGCAGGAAAGGUACGGGUUUCAAAAAUUUAAAGAAAAAAUAAUAAUAAUAAUAAUUUAAAAUUUUGAAAUUAACUUCCGUAAAAAAAAAAAAGAAGAAAAAAAAUUUCACCGUGGCUUAAAUAGAGCCUAAAGAAGAGAAAAAAGAAACAAUUUCUUUCUUUUUUUUUUCUUUUUCUUCUUUCUUCCUUCUUUCUUUCUUUCUUCUUUCUCUUUUCCCUCUCUCUUCUCCCCUGUUUCUUCUCCCCUGUCCGUCGCCCGUGCGCCCCAUCGCUGCUCCACCUCCACACGCACGCCGACGCUGCGAGCCACCUGCGACCCCAGCGCCAGAUCUGGACCAUCGCCGAAACCCGCAGCCUCCGCCACCUCCACCUGAGCUCUGCCUCGCGCGCAACCCAGCUGCUCUGCGCCCGAAGCUCCACCGCCGCCACAGCCUCCCCACGCAGCUCCCUGCUCACGCGGCCACAAGCCCAUUGGAAACGGGACAGAGACUGCCGCCGAGCCACUUGCCCGCGUGACCGCCGCUGUUUUCCACCACCUCCCUCACGCGAGCUCUUUCCCUCUCAGCAGCAAUCCACUUCACAGCGCACCCGCUGCGCGCCGUCGCAGCCCUCGCAGCUCCAGCCCGUCUGGUCUAGUCCGCCGCGCGCACCAACCACCCACGGACGCUACCCCCAUCGCUAACCCACGCGGCCUCCACUCCAGUCUGUCCGCCGCCGCUGCUCGUGUCUCCCUUGCGCACCUCACGCCACCCGCUACUGUCCCCUUCCGUUUGGUUAGCAUCCACGGUGGAGGUAAUUGGAGGUUAUUUUCUCAAUUGUGUGACUUCCGCCUGUGAUACUGGUUGCAUUAUUUUUGCUGGGAAUUGCUACUUCUUUUGGGUUGGGUUCAACUGUGCAAUUAAUUGGCCAACUGGAGCCAUUUGUUGGGAUUUUGGGUGAGCUGAAAUACUGCAUUUGUGUGUUACAUUGGGAGGUUUAUUGGGUACAUUCUAACCGCUGUUUUCCAUUGUUACUCUCGCUGGGGUGUCUAUUAAAUUGCGAUUGAAGUAUUUUGGAUAUUGCAUGUUGAGAUUGAGGUUUCAUUGAAUUUGGCCUACGUUCUGCCCCCAGUGGUACUGGUGGGAAUAUUUUCAAUUGAAUUUGUUACCUCUAGUUGGUUGGCUACAUUAUUAUGGUCGAAUUCCUAAGUUGUCGUCAUUGCAUUUGUUGAUCUUGAUUUGGGGCAUUAACCGGCCAACUGGAGCCAUCUGUGCGUUUUUAGGCGCUAUUAUUGGUUUCUUCUCCCUUAACUUUGUCAACUAUAUUUGGUUGGGUAUUUGGUUGACUGCCACGGACUUGUAACUGUGUUUUGCUUCUAAUUGACCAGUUGCACAGCAGUUUUUUUUUAAUUGAUAGGGUGGUUAUACCUCUGGAUAUUUGUAUCCACUGGUUUGAGGACAUGGUGAGACCAAAAUCCUCCUCUAGGUCUAGGACCCCUAGAACCUCGCAAUCCCAACCCCAAGCCUCUACUCUAGUCAAUACCCCUAUAAAUCAACCUACUGCUCCCGGUGUCCGAACCUGGUUAGGUAGGGGUAGAGGUGCCCACGUGGCUUCCGCCACUCACUUGGGAGGGCAUUUGGAAUUCACUAGAGCCGCCGAUCAGCGACGCUAUGCUCAAGCUUGUGAGCGGCGUAUCAUUCCGUGCAAAUGCGCGGACCACAUUACUAUGGUUUUUCUGGGGAUCCAAGGGGAGGUUGAGCGCAUGUACACCGCCAUUGGAUGGCGCCCCUAUCUGGAUAUUUUCCAGCCAGCCUUUGUCGAGUUGACUAGAGAGUUUUACACCACUUUUAAGUUUGAAUUACCGACUAGGUAUACUGUUGCGACUCCCGAUAUCAUUCACUUCCGUCUCAUGGGCCAGGAAUUCAAUUUCUCUAUCACCCAGUUCAAUCUGGCUUUCGGUUUCAUCACUCGGGAGUAUGCAGAGACUAGGGAAUACGGUGAGAGUGCCUGCGAUUUUGUGGAACCUUUCCUUACCGCCUACCGUGAGGUGUGGGAGGACAUGUCUGUGGACAUGCAGCGUUACGAUCCCUCUCGGUCUCGGAGCUCCUUUCUAGAGGACCCGAGUGCUCGGUAUGUUCAGCGGCUUUUAGCAUAUAGCUACUCGGGCAGAAAGAACAGCUUCGGUAUUAUCUCUCGGCCGGAGCUCUUCUUCCUUUGGUGUAUGAAGAAUGGGUUCAAGGUCAAUUUGGGUUGUUGGUUGGCGGCACAGUUCAAGACCGUCAUGGCAAAGAAGAACAAGCCGUUGAUUCUUGGGUCGUAUAUCACGUACUUGGCGGUCCAGCUAGGCGUUCUGAAUCUACAGGAUCACGAUUUGCACUUGGCCUGCGACAUGGAGUAUCUCACUGCUGACCGGCUAGAGAAGAUGGGGGUUCUGGAGCUUGUCGAUGGCCACUACCGAUUUGUGCCCCCGGGACCGCCCCGCGCCCCGCCUCGCUCUUCCUCCACCCAUUCGGCCCCAGUUGGCGGUGAUCCUGGCCCGUCGACAUCCGCUCAGCUCCCUCCACCAGCAGGGGCUGAAGAUUGGCACCAAAUCAGGACGCAGAUUCAGAAUUUGGACGCCCGGAUGAUUAGCAUCGAGAGCAACGUGGCGGCUAUAUCACAGAAUCUGGCGGCAUUCCUGCAGCACUCGGGUUUCCCGCCCCCAAUCCCACCUCACCCUCCACUAUGACCCGGUUUCAGGGAAGUUUGGUUACUUUCUCCCUCACUUUUGUUGUUUUUUGACACAUUGAGGACAAUGUGUCCUAUAGGUGUGGGGGGGUCUAUAGUCUUUCUAGUUUUUAGUAGUUGUUAGUUUUUAGUUUUUUAGUAGUUUUAGUUUUAUUUCUAGUUGCGUAUUUUCUUUCUUUUCUUAGUGCUUAUUCCCCAUGUGAAAAGAAAAAGAAAACAAAAAAAAAGAGAAAAAAAUGUUGGUUUAUUGACUCUAACUCUACUUUUGCCAAGUUUUUUUUAAAUAAAAAUGUAUCGGGUUAAUGUGGUUGGAUCCAGAAUAUCUCCCUGGUGAAUAUCGGAUUGCUUGGCUCUUUUGAUUUCUGUGUUAAUUUCUCUAGGCAUAGGGAAUGACUGUUGGCAUUUUAAUGUGAACUGGUCCAAUAUUGACUCCAGUUCUCUAUGUUUGGCAAUAAUGAGGCGAGCUGUUCCUAUUUUUGGUUCUUAGUGUUGUUAUUAUGUGUUUUUGGCUUUGUUUGGCUGUGAAUAAUCUGGACUGUACUCCGCUAUGAGUUACUACUGAGUAACCGAGGAUCGGCACCUAAAAGUGUCGAUUCUCGCGUCAAAAGGUGGUACUUUAUAUGAGUACGUGGUCGUAUAGCAGUAGGAGCUGAGUAACCGGGCUCCUUCAUCUAAAAAUGUUGGAGUUCGCGUCAAAAGGCCCCGACGGCUAACGACUAAGUCUUUUUGUGUUAAUUAUUAUUGCUUUGAAAAACAAAAAAAAAAAAGAACGAAAAAAGAGAGAAUAAAUAAUAGGAAGGCUUGCCGGUUUAUGGACUUAAUAUGGAGACUUGUGUGAAUAUUUGGACCAUUAGCUAAUAAAUGUUGUGCGCCAUUCCCUUUUCUUAGAGUAGUUAACCUGGAAAUUGAAGGAAUUUGCAGUUUAGGGGCUAACCGGGGGGGAGGCUUCUUGGAUUUUAAUCACCAAUGCUCGAUAUAUGUUUUUCUCUUGAAGAUCUUGGCAAUAUAGGAGAUUGGACAAUGGCCAUCAUCGAAUUUUGGUGUUCGUUUACUAUUCUUAUGCUUGAGGACAAGCAUGGUUUAGGUGUAGGGGGAAUUGAUAGGGUGUAAUUUUACUAUUUAUUUUAUUAUUAAUUUCUCCUAUCACCUGACCUGAUGUGGAUUAAUUGCUGGAUUCUGCUCACUUUUAGUACUUUGUAUUUAUUUCAGGGAGUAGAACGGAAAUUUGAUAACAGGUGCUAAUUUGGCAGAAAAAAGUCCAGAUGAUAGAGCUUGCCCCAAGGGCAUUUUUGGAAAGGAGAACUUGUGCCCAUCUUGGUAAUUUGGGAGAAAAGGGAAACAGACAAAAUGGGUCUAACAUGGAUUGGAAGCGGCCGCACAGUAGCAGGGAAGAGGGCAGACGUAAAAGCAAUUGCAGGGGGGAAAAGGAGUUUUUUUAGUUUUUAGCUUAGCAUCUGAUUUUCCCUGGGAGACUUUUGUUAAAGAUUUCCUUUUGGCUGAUAUUACGCAUGGCAGAUGGCUUUUAACUUAUUCCUCCAUCUUUGACUUUUCUUCUUUAGCUUGUAGUAGUGGAUUGCUACUUACGAAUGUCAGCACUUAGCCAUUCGUGGCUUUUGAUCUUUUCUUCCUUAGAAAUUCUGAGUAGCCUCUUUUCCUUUGUGCGCCAGACGAAGUGAAAACUAUAAACUUUUGUAGUGUUUCUAUUCAUUCAAUAUAUUGAGACGAGUUGGAUUCUACCAAAUUUCAAUGGACAUGGCCGCUGGUUUCUCUUCAAUUUUAUAUGGGCUUUGUUCAUCGAACAUGAACUAAUUUCACCACUCUAGUCAAGGAACAACGAAGACUCUGGUUCGCCUAAAAAUUGUGAGAUCGUUUUAAUUUAAUCUUUUCCUUUUAUUUAUUGGUAUCCGCACAUUUCUUGAUUGCUAUGCUUAUGGUUAUUUAAUUAAUUGAUUGUCUUGGAUCCAGAUAAUUAAUUGAUCUGAUAGCCUAUUGUCAAUUAGGGCAUUUAAAUCCGUAAUUGUUUAAUUGUCCUGAAAUAGUGACAACUGGCACGAUUAGAUUCGUGCCAGGGGGGAUAUGCGGGCUAAUCUAAAAUAACCCUGGUAGUGUGUUAUUUGGUUAGAAUAGGGCUCCUCUAAUAUGUAAGGCAAUUGGGGAAUUAAAUUCUACGGGCGUACCUAGAAUUAUUUCUUAAUUAGAGUAGUGAUUAACGGGCGUACCUUGAUCACCGACACAGUAAGGAGGGGUUGACUGCCAUCGCUUGUUUGGCAGUUAUAACAUAUUUAUCAGUAAAUAAUUGGGAUUGCCUUGCAUCAAUGAUCAAUUAGAUGAACUAUUGCUGAAGUUACUUCUUGGCUAGAUCUUUAGUUAAUAUUACCUUGAUUUUGGUGAAUUGCCAUUUGAUUUUUAGUUGCCUACUUUAUUUUAUUUUUAAUUGUUUCCUUGCUUUAAUUGAGUUAGGCCUUUAAUUAUUGUUAUUCUAAGUUUAGUGAAUUGUGGUUUAAUUCCUAAUUAGUUAUUUAUUUUUACUUUCUUAUUUGAAUUUAUUUGCUUGUUAUCAUUCCUACGAAAUCACCCCCCUGUGUUACUUUGGAUUUCUUAAGAAACAAAUAUACCCAGUCCCUGUGGAUACGACCCUACUUGCCCUGUCCACGAAUUCAUAAUUAUUUGUGAAAAGAAAUAACCAUUCCACUCGGGUAUAUCGGAUCAAGCAAACUCUUCGGGAACAGGGUGAAUCAAGUAACCCAUUGCACACCUAAAAUCCCUGCUCCAGUACUUGGAAUUGGGUUUUGGUCAUUUUAACUGGCAAUUAAGUUUAAUUUUAUUAUUGCACAGGCUGACGACCCUGUCAUUGUAUUUGUACCAAAAGUGAAAACUUAACUAUUUUAGUUGUAUUUAUUUCAUCAUGUUGGAUUGUAUUCAAAUAAUUUUUGUUUGAUUGUUUUUAUAAGUUUCAAUUGUAAAAUUAAAAUGAAUAAUAACUUGAUGAUGUGUUGAUAUUUUAGUACUUGAUUAUUUAUUAAAAUUUAAUUAUAAUAAAAUUUUAUUAACUCAACGAGAAAAAUUUUAUUAAUCCCGUGGGGGCACCCGCGGGGAAAGCGGGGCGGGGCGAGGGGAGUGGGAGGCGGAGGACGGGGCGGGGGCGGGGGAUGGGGGAGGGGUCCCCCGCCCCAACCCCGCCAUCCCCCGUCCCGUUGUCAUCCCUAGUAAUAGACUGGCAAGCAUUGUGGUGGUCAUUGAGCAACUUAUAGGAGAAAUAGUCCUAUAAGCUGUUCAAUGACCAAUCACAACUUGCUAAUUGGAUGACUAAUAUAGCUCUAGCUGUAAUGUUUUAAUUAAAUUACAUCACUAACGUUGGGAUGACUUUUUAACCAAAAAAAAAAAGCCUUAGUUCAAGCUUUUCCCUUUAUUGUGCAUUUUUUAAAGCAUUUGAAAGGCACUGCAAAUCUGUCAUUUUGGACAUUUUAUUAUUGACUAACAAUGAAAGCCGUGGACGUCUACCCAUAACCAACACAAGAUUAAAUUAAUAUUAGAAAAAAUAAUUGAGUAAUUGGAAAAAAAAAAAAAAGAAGAGUCUAAUUUUCAUUGAAACCCACCGACAAACUAUACGUGUCCAUGGCUUUUGAAUAGUGCAUUCAACGUUUAAUUGUAUGGUCCAGUUCAUUGCAGAUUACAUGGAGUAAAGAUUGCGCUCUUUCCUUUUCACCCCUUUUGGAAUCGAUACUGUGGAGAAUUGGGUUUUUCCCUCCUUUUUUUCUUUUCUUUCCUUCUGUGGUUUGCAAAACAUACGUAAAAAUAUGAAAUCCGAAGCAUUCUUUAAUUGGUAUUAAGUAUUGUUGUUGAAAUUAAAAAGAAAAAAGAAAGAACAACAAAAUUCCCAAUCUGGGUUGAUUGUUGAGCUCUAGAUUGGUUGCAUCGUGCUUCCAUAGAAGCAAGAUUUGUAAAAUCGGAAUCCUACAUAGGAUCGAUUUUAGUUUCACAGGAUCGGAUUGUAAAAUCGUAAGAUCCUACCAAAAGCUCUCAAUUGCAAUUAAAGGUUGCAAUUCUUUAAUAAAUUACAAAUAUACCACAAAUAUUUUCAUUUACUUGCAAAAUGGAGCUUCGUAUUUCACAAAUUUACAAAAAAAUUGUAGGAUCGUACGAUCCUACCGAUCCUACGAUCCUACACGAUCCUACCGAUCCUGCUACGAUUCUAUGCGAUCCUACAAAGAUUAAUAUGAUUUGCGACUCUGCAUACGAUCCGGAUCGAUUUUGGUUAUCCGGAUCGUAGGAUCGUAUGAUCCUACGAUCCGGAUCGCGAUUUUGACAACUAUGCAUAGAAGCUCUCUUAGUGUGAUACACUGCUUUCAAUCAGUUUAACACGGGAAAAAAAAAAAGAGAUGAAAAGCAAAUUUGGUGGAGAUAAUUUCAGAAACCUCCCCUGAAGAUUUUGACUAUUCUACUGGUUUCCCUUCAGAUUUUAAAAAUUACACUAAUCUUCCUUGAAGUUAAUUAUCUUGUAACAUUUAAAUUCAAUCAAUAAUUUAAAAAAUGAUAUUAUGAGAGAGAAAAUAAUAUGAUUUUAUCAUUGCCCCCCAUCUUACUACAUUAUUUAAUUAAUUUAAUAGCAACCCACACAUUAAAGAAAAAUAUUAAAAUUUGUUGUUUAUCAUUAAAGAUCAAAUCGCUUAUAACAUCAAAUAAUAGUAUAUUAUUUAUAUUUUUCACUUAAUAUAAUAUCCAAAUUACUCUUUUCAAUUACAUACCCAUUGUUAGAGAAUCAACAACAAAUAACCAAAAAAUUUGCAACCAAAAUAUUACAAAAAAAAUAAACUUUAACAUCAUAAAUAUUCUUAUCAACAUAUUAAAGUUAGUUACUGAAAUUUUUAUGCUGUUAAACUUCACUCUUUUUGAAUACAGAUUUUUUUGAUUAUUUGUUAUUAAUUAUGUUUGAUGAUGGGUUUAUAAUUGAAAAGAACAAUUUGAAACUUACAUUAAGUAAAAUAUAUAGAGUGAUAUACUAUUUUUUAUAACAUAUGUGAUUCAAUCCUUCUUGAUAGGAUUGGUAAUAGAGGUAGAGGGGGGAGUCGGCUGCAUCCGGUCUUCUUUUCAUAGAUAGUACAAUAUUGCGAAAUCAAUCGCAUUCACACAAUAAUAUUUCGAAGUCAAUGCAUGGCUAAGUUGCAUAAAAGUACGAACACUUGUUAUUAUAUAGCUUAAGAUUCAAAACUUUCGAGCAUAACCCUCCACCCAACACAAUUGAAUAAUGAAUAUUCACGAUUGUCAAAUCUGUCAAAGCACAGUUUGAGGACAACCCAUUCCAACCUGCAAAAGAUUUUUUACUUUUCUAAAGUUGUUGAGAGCUGUAAAAAGACUUACCAUGCUUGCAUCCUCCGAGCCUUGGGAGUUAAAAAUGAAGGCACUGAGUGCUAUAAAAAGGGGAAUAGAGGCUGCCUAGAAGCAUAUCAGCCUAAAACAAGAAUUUGUAGUUAAGAUGGGAAGCAAAGCAAAAGCAAUGGGGUCUGGGCUGACUCCUCUUCUUGCCACUGUUUUAGUGGUGUUUGUUGCUCUUGGCUUGCCCUCACAAACUGCAGCUGAUGAUCACUACAAGUAUUCAUCUCCUCCUCCUCCUUACCACUAUCCCUCACCACCACCACCAGUGCAUAUACCUCCACCUCAUCCUGUUUACAAGUACAAAUCUCCACCACCCCCACCACCACACCCAGUUUACAAGUAUAAGUCACCACCACCACCUCCUCAUCCGGUAUACAAGUAUAAGUCUCCUCCGCCACCACCACACCCAGUUUACAAGUACAAGUCACCACCACCACCUCCUCAUCCGGUACCACACCCAGUUUACAAGUAUAAGUCACCUCCACCACCUCCUCAUCCGGUACCCACAGUUUACAAGUAUAAGUCACCACCACCACCUCCUCAUCCGGUAUACAAGUAUAAGUCUCCUCCGCCACCACCACACCCAGUUUACAAGUAUAAGUCACCACCACCACCUCCUCAUCCGGUGCCACACCCAGUUUACCACUACAAGUCACCACCACCACCUCCUCAUCCGGUACCACACCCAGUUUACCACUACAAGUCACCACCACCUCCUCACCCAGUUUACAAAUACGAGUCUCCACCACCACCAGUUUAUAAGUACAAGUCACCACCACCUCCUCCACCAGUUUACAAGUAUAAAUCUCCUCCACCACCACCACCAGUUUACCACUACAAGUCUCCACCACCUCCUCCCCCAGUUUACAAAUACAAGUCUCCACCACCUCCUCACCACUACUAAGCAAUUGCUUCUGAGGUAAUAACACUUGUUCAAUAUACCCACUUCUGCAUGAUAAAGCAUAUCUCUAUCAACACAAACUGUCAUGUCUAUCAUGCUAAGUGCCUUCACUUCAUCCACCAAAAUGACUGCUAGAAAAUUUUUUUUAUGUUACCAAAGAAAGGCAUCAUUUUUUCCCUCUGUUAUCAAGAACUUGUACAGUAUAUAGAUUAAAGAGUAUUUUUUUAACUAGCUUAUCAACUGAGAAAUGCAUAUAGCUGAUAGCCAGCUGAAUAUUUGCAGGCAAAGGAGAAGGAAACCAUGUUUGAGACCUUCUUGAAGAUGUAGAAGCAUAAGAAUAAAAGCCCAAUGUGAAGAUGAUGAUUUCAAGUUUUUCUACGUUACCAUUUCUUUAUCUAAAUUGGUUGUAGCGCCCAAGUUCCUUUGUUUAUGGGAUUUGUAUCGUUUUACGUACCAUGCAGUACAUGUCAUGUUUGUAAGGUUUUCUAUCCUGCCGGCAAACCGCAGGUUCCAUGUGAUAAAUGAAUACUAUUUAUGUUACGACACUUUUCUCUGUUUCUCUUAUAUUUUGUCUUUAAUAUUCUUAAUCAUAUUUUUAACAAAAAUAUUCAAACACUUAGGCAAUCUGGUCUAAUGCUAAUUGUAUGUUUUACUUUUCUUUUUCACCUGCUCCCCUUUUCAACUCAAAAGGAUGCAAUAGUUUGUGAUCACUGUUUAAGACGGAAGCAUGAUACUAAUGAAUAUCUCAUUGAAACUCAAGGAAACUAACAUUGCGAAAAGUGUAAAUCUUGAUUUGAUGCAACUAUUUAUUCGUGGAAUCUAUAGUUACAAAACUCAAAUUCUGACUGCGCCAUUGAUAAAUUAUUAAUGACGCUAUCAUCAUUAUUUAUCCCUAACUAGUUUCGACUACAACUGAACCCAAUAUUUUCCCCAUGAUAAAAGUUUUUGACUAUUUUACUGGCCUCUCUUCAAAUUUUAAAAAUUACACUAAUCUUCAUUGAGAUUAAUUAUCUUGUAACAUUUAAGUCCAAUUAAUAAUUAAAAAAUGAUAUUAUGAGAGAGAAAAUAAUAUAAUUUUAUCAUUGCCCCCCAUCUUGCUAUAUUAUUUAAUUAAUUUAAUAGCAACCCACACAUUAAAGAAAAAUACUAAAAUUUGCUGCUUUUCAUUAAAGAUCAAAUUGCAUAUGCCAUAAAACAUAGUAUAUCAUUCUAUAUGUUUCACUUAAUGUAAGAUCCCAAUUGUUCUUUUCAAUUACAAACCCAUUGUCAAACAUGAUCAAUAACAAAUAAUCAAAAAAUUUGCAACCAAAAUAUUACAAAAAAAAACUUUAACAUCAUAAAUAUUCUUACCACCUCUAGUGCAUUCACCCUCAUAAAAUAAUUCAAGACCCUACUGUCAUAAAAUGACUGAUCAACUCCUGUAAACCUAAUUUGACAACAUUUAAAUGGAGAACUUUAGCUAAAAGAAUUAUGGUCAAGCUAAAGAAAAAACCAGUUAUUUUCCAACAUAUGCAACCAUUGAUCAGGGGAAAAAAAAAAGCAAAAAGACAUCUUCAAUCAUUUAAUAGCUUACAGGGCAAAUUAACCCUUGAGUGAAAACUGGUUGCUCUAGAAUUAAAAUUUUACCUUAGUUACCCAGGCAACUUUUUUGUUGCCUUUUCUUUUUCUUUUUUGGGUAUAUAGCUCCAGUUUUGCCCCCUCUGUCAAGCUUAUAUAAUUAUUAAGAUAAUAAAAGUGCCUUUAAUAGUAUUAAUAUAUCCAUUGACUUGAGCUGUCAUCGAUCGGUUUGGGCUACUUCGAUUCCAUGAGAACAAAUGGUAAUAAAAGUACUCAGAAAAUGGGGAGUCAUGAAACCCUUUUGUUCUAUUCAUUGCUAAGAUGCUUUUCUCUAUAAAGAGACUUCCUAACGAAAAUACUUUGUAGAUUUCUUUACUCCAAGUGGUGCAUGGAAAAUUAAUAUUUUCAAUUAUCAAAUAAAAUUCCCUUUUUUCGGCGUAGAUUUCAUCCAUCCAGCUGUUAACACAUUCUAUAAAUCCGAAUUGACUAAUCUUUUCGUUUCCAUUUUCCAACUUGCGAAUACGGCAUAUAGUGUCUGCUAAACACUAUAUAUUCUCUGCCAAAUAUGAAUACAUAUCACUUUUCUGAGCAAGUGCAGAGUCAUUAUCAUUUUUAUUCCCACCUAACAAAUUAGGGAUAAAAAAGUUAAUAAUCUUUACAUGCUAUCAGGUCACAAGUUAAUAAUCUUUUAAAGAACAUGUUAAAUUAAUUUAUUGGUAUGAAUAGUAGUCAAAGAAGUAUGUUAAAGUUAGUAAUCUUUAAAAUAAUAUGUUAAAAUCAUUCGUACAAAUUAGUCAGAGAAGUAGCAUAAACACCGCGAUGCAAUUAAUACUUUCAAUCUCAAGGUCUCUAUUAUGGAAAUUUGCAUCGGUCAAUAUACACUUGGCAUAAUAUAAUCUCCCAACUCAUUUCUUUACAAAUGCACCUUUAAUCACCACCAAAAGGUGUGGACAUGAUCUUUACCCUAGAAAACUAUUCACCGACAGGCAAAUUGACGUCAGAAAUACUGAGGAAUUCUAGUUUCCUUCGGGUUCAUGCCAUGUUGUAUCCUUCAACUGUAACUCGAUUUCUAAGCUGUAAUUUGUGACAUAAUAGUCCUUAAACUAUGAAACCCUUCUUACUUAAUUACAAUGGUUAAUACAAUGCCCGUGACUAGACAAGUAUGAAGCAACCAUAACAGAAAAAAAAUCCAAAAUUAGAGAAAAGAAAGAAGUUUCGCGACCACCACCAGUUUACAAGUCACCUCCACCACCUCCUCCAGUUUACAAGUCACCUCCACCACCUUACCAUUAUUCCUCACCACCACCUCCAGUGCAUUCACCCCCACCACCACCAGUUUACAAGUCUCCGCCACCACCUUACCAUUAUUCCUCACCACCACCUCCUGUGCAUGCACCUCCACCACCAAUUUACAAGUCACCUCCUCCAGUUUACAAGUCUCCACCACCACCUUACGAUUAUUCCUCACCACCACCUCCAGUGCAUUCACCCCCACCACCACCAAUUUAUAAGUCUCCCCCACCGCCUCCCCCAGUAUAUAAGUCACCACCACCACCUCCUCCAGUAUACAAAUCACCUCCACCACCUCCUCCAGUUGACAAAUCUCCACCACCACCAAUUUAUAAAUACAAGUCUCCUCCACUACCUCCUCCAGUGUACAAGUCAUCACCACCACCUGCUUACAAGUCUCCACCUCCUCCAGUUUACAGUUCCCCACCACCACCAAUCUACAAGUCUCCACCUCCACCCUACCAUUACUACUACAAUUCUCCUCCUCCUCCUCGUCACUACUAAGCAAUUGUAUCCAAGUUUUUGAGGUAAUAACGCUUAACCAAUAAAUUAACUUUCGCAUGAUAAACCUUAUCUCUAUCAAGACAAACUGCCAUGUGUAUCAUGCCAAAUACGUACACCUAGAUCCAUGAAAAUGAAUGGUAGAAAGUUUUCUUAAGAACCAAGAACAGCAUUAGUAUUCCCUCUGCUUCCAAAAACUUGUGUAUUAAAUAGAUUAAUGAAUUGUUUAACAUGCUCAUCUACUUGAAAAUGCACAAUACCCAUAACCCACUGAAAUUUUUGCAGGAAAAGGGAAAGAGAAUCUGUGUUUGAGAGCUUCAUGAAGAUGUUGAAGAAUAAGAAUAAAAGCCCAAUGCAAGGAUGUUUUCAAGUUUUUCUAUGUUUCCACUUUAAUUUGUAAAUUGAAUUUUGCGACUCAAUUAAUUCCCUGUUUGUGAGGUACGUAUUGUUUUACGUACCAUGCCGUACAUUUUUUUUUUCCAACAAACGGUAUCAUGUUAUAGAUAUUAACACUUGACCUUACAAGGAUUAGUUACAAAAAGGGGAUACUACCCUCAACUCUGUCCUAGCUAAAUCAGUCAGCCAUAUUGGGAAAUUAGUUUCCCAUUCAAUAUCAUGUACAAGCUUCACAGCAUAUUGUGCUAAUUGAUGGCUGAUGUGAUUUUCAGUUCUAGGUAUAAACACAAAAGAACAUUUUUCAAAAGCUAGACUAAGUUCCUGCACAUCUUCUAAGAUAGUUGCAGUCGUGUAGUCAUACUCCUUGCGUUUAGUAAUCUGCUCUACCACUGAUUUGCAGUCUGUAUGGACUAUAAUUUGUGUCCAACCUGCUUGGGUAGCCAUCAGCAGAGCAUUUCUCACAGCCCGAGCUUCCACUUCACUUGCCGAUCCCUUUCCCUGUGUGACAAUUCCUUUUGCUUUCAAAAGCUGUCCUUUCCAAUUUCUUGCUAUAAUCCCUUGUCCGGUCCUGACUCGUUUAGCUGAUAUCGCUGCAUCGGUAUACAGCCUUAUCUCUUCCUUCCUUGGCCGCACUCUCCUGGUAGGUAAGGCAUCAUUCAGCUUCCCUGCGAUCUCCUUCUGGUCUGUACUCCCUACCUGUUCAAACUCAAGCCAUUCCUCCUGUGCUUUCCUUACUAUUUUUACUGGAUCCUGGUUGGCUUGUUCAAAAAAUUUUUUGUUCCUGGCUUUCCAAAUUUGCCAAAGGAUAUUGAUAGUAAGACUAACUCUCUCCUGACCUUGGUUCAGUGCCAGCGAUUGUGUGACUUGUUCCCACCAUAACCAAAAGUUAUAUUGCAUACCCAGUAAUCCAUCCCACCUGACCGGUGCUAGCUUCCACGUUUCCACAGCCUUUUCACAGAAGAAAAACAAAUGCUCAAUAGUUUCCAUAUCUUCACCACAGCAACCACAUCUGCCUUCCCCUCUAUGUAGCCUUUUCGACAUCUGUUCAUUGACUGGCAGACAAUUUUGUAAGCACUUCCACAUGAAGUGUUUUAGUUUGGCCUUCACCUUCAAAUGCCAUAGCUGCUUCCACACAUUUCGUUUUCGUAUCUCCCAACUUGUUUCUGCCUCUUGGCCUGUCCUUGUACCUGCUUUUCCUUCCCGUUGCCUUGCUAAAGCAUAACCAGAUUUCACGCUAUAAAUUCCAGCUUUGGAAUGCCCCCAUACCAACCUAUCCUUUCUUCUUCCUAUACUUGUUGGAAUUCCCUUUAUGUGCUCUGCAUCUUUUGCACAAAACCACUUGAGAAGCAAAUCAUUUUUCCAUUUCCCUUCCUCUAUCAGCUCACUUACCCAUUCCAACUUGCAUCCCACAGGUUGUGUGGUUGAUGCAAAGCCGGUAUCUGAACCAACUAUCCAUCUGUCCCGCCACAUGUUGACUGACUUGCCAUCUCCAAUUCUUUUCCAAAGACCAUCAUACAGAAAGGAGGCUGCACUAUGAAUACUCUUCCAACACCAUGAGGCUGAAGAGACUGGCUUCUUGUCCAUCCAUUUUUCAUCACUCAUAUACUUCGCCUUCAUUACCUUACUUACUAACAAAUUUGGAGCCAUUAAGAAUCUCCAAAUUUGUUUUGCCAGUAAUGCUGUGUUGAAGGCCUCCAAAUCUCUAAAGCCUAAACCUCCUCUUCCCUUAACUUCUAAGAGCUUCUUCCAGCUUGCCCAAUGUACACAGGUACCCUUUUCUCCCUUCCCCCACCAGAAACUCGCUAUUUUACCUGUGAUUUGUCUACACAAACCCCUUGGAAGUCUAAAGCAAGCCAUCACAUAUGUUGGCAUAGCCAUAAUCACUGAUUUGACCAGAAUUUCUUUCCCUCCUUGGCUCAACAGUUUUUGUUUCCAACCUUGCAACUUGUUACUAAUUUUGUUCUGGACAAAUGCAAAGACCUGUGUCUUUGAUCUUCCAAUUGCCAUUGGGAGUCCUAGGUAGGUUCCAUUCCUUGCCUCUUUAAUGUUAUCUAAUACCUCCCUCACUCCAUUCUUCCUUUGAUCAGUGGUAUUUUUGCUAUAGAAGAUAGCUGACUUUUCAAAAUUCACCACCUGUCCGGAUGCUUGACCAUAUCUUUCCAAUAUGCUUUUGACCUUCCUCGCCUCCUGCUUGGUUGCUUGGCAGCAUAGUAGAGAAUCAUCUGCAAAAAAUAGGUGAGAAACCAUCGGACUGUCCUUGCAUAUUUUGAUCCCUGUAAUUUCCUUGUUCAUCAUAGCUUUAUGGAUCAAACAUGAAAGACCUUCAGCGCAUAUAAUAAACAAGUACGGGGAUAGGGGGUCUCCUUGUCUAAGCCCUCUACUCGGUUGAACACAGCCUACCUUUUGCCCAUUUAAGUUGAAGGAGUAAGUCACAGUAGAUAGGCAAGACAUGAUCCAUUUAACAAAAAUUGGACAAAACCCCAUUUUCAUCAUAACUCUCCCCACAUAUUUCCAUUCGACUCUAUCGUAAGCUUUGGACAUGUCCAGUUUAAGAGCCAUAAAUCCUACCCUUCCCUUUCUCCUAUUUUUCAAAAAAUGCAGGAUUUCAUGUGCAACUACUACAUUAUCAAGAAUUUGACGGCCUGGGAUAAAAGCGGAUUGAGAGGGACUAAUACAAUGAUGCAAGACACCUUUCAAUCUAUUAGCUAUGAUUUUAGAAAUGAUUUUAUACAGGACAUUGCACAAGCUAAUAGGUCUAAAAUGCACCACAGAUUCAGGAGUAUCAACUUUAGGAAUCAACGAAAUAAUAGUAUCAUUCACAGCUUUGAGCAAAUGCCCAGUAUGAAAGAAACUCUUAAUAGCUGCUACCACAUCAUCCUUGAUAAUAUCCCAAUAGUGUUGAAAAAAUAGAGGAGACAUACCAUCCGUUCCUGGUGCUUUAUUAGGGUGCAUCGAGAACAAAGCUUUCCUGAUCUCACUUUCCUCCACUUGUCGUAUCAGUUGUCCAUUCAUAUGACUCGAAAUAGUGCUUGGAAUUUCAGCUAGAAUGUCCUCAAAGCAGUCCGGGUUAGUAGUGGUAAAAAGGUCUUUAUAGUACUCACAAAGUUCCUCCUCAAUCUCAUGUUCCUCCUUGCACCAUGUCCCAUCUUUUUUCUGCAAUAUAGUGAUCUUAUUUCUCCUCCUCUUUGCCAUGACCGAAGAAUGGAAAAAAGCUGUAUUCUUGUCCCCUUCUUUGAGCCACUUGUUCCUGGAUUUUUGACUCCAAAACAUCUCUUCCUCUGCAUAAGCUUUAUUCAAUUGUGCUUUUAGUUCAGCCACUUGUACUCUUUUCCCUUCAUCCUUUCUUGCUUUCACUUCAGCCAAUUUCUCCUUUAACACUUUAAUUCUAACCUUUGAGUUUCCCUGCACCUUUUUCCUCCAAUCCAGAAUAGCCAUGCGACAUUCCUUUAUUUUUGUAGCCACUCUAAACAUCCUGGACCCUGACUUCACCUUUGUCCAUGCUCCUUGAAUCACCCUUUUUGCUUCUGGAUUUAGCGUCCAUCGUUGAUCAAAGUAAAAUCUCCGUUUUCUCCUUGUGUUUUCCGGGUUUGUAUCCACAAGAAGCAUUAGAUGAUCAGAGGCUUCAGUAUCUAAAUGAGUACACUGUGCCUUUUCAAAUCUUUGCAGCCAUUCGGUGCUGCAUAAACAUCUAUCCAACCUCUCUUUCACUUCCCCAUCCCCCUCCCAACUAUUGCACCAAAUCCACGGGACCCCUUGAUAACCUAAGUCAACCAGGUUAUUGUCUUUGAUAAACCUGUUGAACUCCCUAAAACAUCUUUCAGCUCUAUCCCUUCCUCCCCACUUCUCCUCACUAGACCUCAAAUCAUUAAAAUCUCCUACAAUGAUCCAGCCAUCCCCCCAGUCCCUCAUCCUGUCCUCUAAAUAUUUCCAUUGUGCUUUUCUAAUGUUACUAUCUGUGCUUGCAUAAACACACACUAGCCCCCAGUAUCCUUUAGUAUCCUUGUCCUCAACUCUAGCACUAAUACACCAAUCAGUACUUACAAUCUGGUCUAAAAUCACCUCAUUGUUCCAGAAUAAUGCUAGACCGCCUGCUUUACCUAUUGAAUUCACAAAAAAGCUAUUGUCAUACUGAAUCUUCCUUUGAACCUUGCCCAUAAACCCUUCCUGAUUCUUAGUUUCACAAAGGAACACCACCUUAGGAGAGUGGAAGUUAGUCACUUCCUUUAGUUGGGGACUUGUCAAGGGGCCUCCUACACCUCGACAAUUCCACACCACAACCUUCAUUUACACUUUGGAGGCUUUCCGGGGCUAGCCUCCAUUUCCCCUAUUGUACUAACAUUUAUUAGAUCCAGUUUCAUAACCUUUACCUUCGGUACAUUAUCAUCAUCCUCCUCUAUCGGUUGUGUUCCCUGAAACAUACCAUCAGCCUUCCUUUUAGCACACGAAACCUGCGUUACUUGUCCAUUUGUAUCUGCCUUUAAGGAUGUUUUAGCCGGCCUCCCUCUUCUUUUAAAACUGCUUCUUUUUUCAGCUUUGUUAUCUUCUUCCCCUGGAGUAGCCUCCUUUCUUGGCAUUCUUGCAUUUGUCUCCUCCUGCUUUAUUGACCCUACCCGCAAACUUUCACAUUCCUGUUUUGAGCUGUCCGUUUCCAUAUCCUCAUAAUCUACUGGUGGGAUUACGCUGCUCCCUCCUUUACUCCCUUCCUGUACCCUACCCUCCUUUUCACCAUUUCCCUCCAUUAAGACCACAGCCAAACUUUCCACCCGUUGGUUUGCCUUUCCAUACUGCCUGCUGUCUUUUAGAAUCUCAUCCCACCUCUCUUCAUAUUGUCUCGUCAUCAUUUUCUCCUUAUCCCCCCUUUCCUUUCCCCCCAAGACUCUACCAUUUUUUCCCCCAAGAGUUAAUGUAUCUCCAGCCAUUUGUACUCCAGUUUGAACUUCACUACUAGGAGACCCUGCCCCCACCCUCCUUGCAUCAAUUUCACUUACUCCUUCCAGCCGUCCCUUUAAGGGAGAUACCAUUAUAUUUCCAGCUCUCAUCCAGGCACCAUAUUGUUCCUCUCGCUUCUCCCCCCCACCCUUCCUACCACAGUACAAGUCCUAUCACUAUGCCCAAUGAUACCACACCUAUAACAGAAAUCAGGGCAGCGUUCAUACCUGAACUCAACCCACACUGCCUGGUUCUUACAGUUGAUCUUUGUCCCUCUAACCAGUGGUUUCGUUAUAUCUACCUCAGCCAUAAUCUUCAUGUGGCGACCCUCUUUCCCACCACUUCCUGGGAGAAUCACUCCCCUCACUGAUUUAAAGAUCCCUCCUAUUUUCAAACCCACUGCUCUGCUCAACCAGUGCACCGGUAGGUUCCAUAGUUGAAUCCAAAGAAAGGAAUGCUGGAAAAAGCUGCUGUUUGUAUCAUACCCCUCUACCCACUCCUUCACUAUCAGCAACUGGUUGUCCAUGACCCAAGGCCCUCCAGAUAAGAUCUUUUUCUUUUCCCCUUCAUCUCCCAGAUGGAAAUGGAAUAAGUUAGGACCUAACUCAGUCACUUUCAUCUUUGAGGGGUAUCCCCAUGCAUGAUUUGUAAAGUUCUUUAACCCCGUAAAGUUGGCAAUUUUUUCACCAAUCAGCUUUCCUACCAGGCUUCCUUGACACUCAGAGACGCCUUCUUCCAGGUCCUCACCACUCAGAUCGACACCUCCUAACUCUGUUUCAGACAAGUCAAAAUUUUGAAAGGCUCUUUCUAAAGCAUCCGCCAUUGCUGUGACGAGAGCUCCUUGAGAAACCAAGCACUAUUUCUGAGCUAUGAGUGACCCACUGACAGACCUGUGAAGAAUUGCAAAGACAGACAAAGCUGUGUUAUCCGUACACACUAAAAACCAACCAGAAAAACAGAGAGGAACUCGACAGAAAAAGCACAGGCACAAGAAGAAACGAAAGAAAAAAGAAAAACCAACAAACCACUAUCCCACUCCCGACCACAUAACAGCAUUAAAGAAAGGGACACAAAUACGACACUCCAACUUCCGAUCACAUGCUCUGACUCAAUGGAUCAUAUCUUGCCCAAAGCGUUUACUCCUCCAACCGAUUCCAAACCACUACAGACAUUGUCUCCCAUUUUGAAGCCGGAAGAAAGGUGGCUUCUGGACAGGGAACAUGAAAGCAAAGGUUGAACUAAAGAUUUGAUUUUAGAUCUGAAAAUUACGCUGUAGGAAAAAGUGCUAUGUGUUUGUACCUCACCCACUCUCCCACACCGAGGAGGGGAACCUCUAAAGUUAGAGAGAGAAGCUCUCAAGUUAGAGAGAAGCUUUGGAAGUUAAUUACCAACGUACCAUGCCGUACAUGUUUGUAAGGAUUUCUAUCCUAUUGGCAAAAGUCGGUUCCAUACAAUUAAUCAAUUCAUUUCACUUCUAUUGGCUCUACUAUUUAUGCAUGUUACGACACUCUUUCCCUUAUAUUUUGCCUUUAAUAUUAUGAGUCAAUAGUAAUAAUGGGCCUUUUUCUUAAAAUUAUACUAUUAUACAUAGGUAGUUUGGUCUAACGCUAAAUUCAUGUUUGUCUUUCUUUUAUUCCCUUUACAUCUCAAAGUAUACUAUAGUUUGUAAUCAUUGUGGUGAUGAUAUUACCAGCUGGUACUUAUAGUUUAAGGCAGAGACAUGAUAUUAACAACUAUCUCAUUGAAACAUAAGUCAAAAUCAUGACAAGUGUGAGUCUUGGUUAAUGCACAAUUUGUUAGUGGAAUUUAUAUUUAUAAAACUCAAAAAAAAUUUUUGACAAUGCUAUUACUAAUUAAUUAAGGACUUCAUUGCUAUAAUUUAUCGCUUACUAAUUUAAACUAUAAAUGAUCUCAAUACUUUUCUCCAUGAUGUCGAUUUCUUUAGACUACGAAAGGGAAAAAUUAGUGACAUAUCCCUUACUGAUUACAACAUCAGCAAAAAUUAGUUAUAAACUUUUCCGGUGGUUUUAAAUCCCUCGGGCACUAAGGUUUUUUGCACAUCGAGUGAAUUAAGGAACAUAGGCAAUUCGUUCUGCAUACCAAGUCCUUGUUUAAGAUGCACGUACUAAAAUGCAUCCACUUCAUUAAUUUGGAAAAUUGCCAUAGUUUUUUUUAAGCAUUUUGAUUUUUUACAUGAUUCAAAAUUUUCUUAUUGGAUACAAUCACUUUGUGUCAAGAACACAUUUUCAAUCAUCUUUUUUAUCUUCUCAAUAAGAAAAUAAAAAUUUAUUCAUGCUUUUCUAACAUAUCCAAUCAUUGAUCUGAAAAAUAAAGAAUUAAAAAAAAAAGACAUUUUCAAUCAUUGCUUACGGGGCAACUUCCCCAUGUGAACCUCAUCAAACAAAGCCAAUAAUAUGAAGGAACAUCUAAAUACACUUUUGCCCUAAAGGCUGGUUGCCUUGGGGUCAAAAUUUAACCUUCGGGAGUAUAAUUACCCGCCAAAUUUAUUAUUUUUUUUAUGGGUAUAUAGUUCCAAUUUUGCCUCCUGUUAAGCUUAUAAAUAUAUUACGACCCAGAAAAUAAAGGAAUCUUGAAUAGUAACAUGUCCAUUGACUUGAGUUGUUAUCAAUUUGGCUACUUCGAUUCCAUGAGGCCAAUCCAAUUCACACUAGCUAGAGAAAAUGGUGAUAAAGGCACUUAGAAAUUUAUAUGUAAUAUUGAUUGGUAGUAACUGAUAAGUAUAUAUUUUACGUGUUUUAAAUAUGUUUUAUUAGUUAGUUUUGGUGUGUUUUAACUACUUUUAUAACUAAUUAACUAGGAAUCUAGUGAAAAUAUGCAUUUUGUGGUUUGAAGUGUAAAAAUUGUAUUUCUAUGGAUUUUAAUGGUGAAAACUUCAUGUUUUUGUAGGUUUAAUGAUUCAAUCAUCAAAUGACAUGAUUUGAGAAGAUAAUUAGAUGAUUGAUGAUGUUUUGAAGUGAUAAAAAGAGAAUACAAAGUGCAAGAGAGGAAAUGCAAUCAAGAAUAAAAGAAGAAAAUUUUUGUAGCUUUGACAUAUUGUCGUAUUUCGGCAAUAUAUUGAGCUACAAUGAUCGGAUUAAGGUGAUUCUUAAACCAUUUGAAGCUAAAAUAUAGAUCUACAUUUGGCAUGAAGGCAUCGAAACCCAUGUCAGUCAUUUUCCUUGUCAAAAUGUUGAAAUACAGAAGUGCAACUCUGUUCUCGAAAGCUAAAACAGAGCUCUGGCUAGUCGAGGGUAUUUUCAUCAUUUCUUAGUCCACAGAGCUCCAAAUGAGAUGAUUCUUAAGGCAUUAGAACCCUAACUCAAAGAGCUACAACUUUCAUAUUUUGUACAAGAGUUAGUUCGGCCUCUAUCAUUAAGAAAAUAGUAGUUGAAGUGGUGCCAAAUGCAUAGAAGUGAAAACGCGAGCUAUCAAUACUCGACCUGAAGUCGCGUAUUCCUGAGGUCAUGCAUUCUCUUCUAUUUUCUGCAACUUGCCCUGCUUUCACAUAACUUUUUCAUCUCAAUUCCAACUAUCAAUUUCGGCUAUAUCUGAUCAAGAAAAGUGUGGAAAGUUUGAAAGACAACUCAUAGGAGUUUCAAGAGUCAAAAAUUACAAUUAGAAACAACUCAUUUGGCUCUUGAAUCCUCUAUAAAUAGAGGCCUUUGAAGAACAUUUUCACAACUUUGGAAGGUUAGAGAAACUCCACAAAAACAUAGUCUUCACUAGAAUUUCCUUAGUUCAUUAGUUAGGGUAGUAUAGUAUAGUUAGUGUAGCUUUUCCUUCUUGUAUUUAUAGUUAGGUUUGAAUGAAGAUUCAGGAGCAAAGAUAGAGAGGUUGAUCUCAUGUGACAAGGGUGAUAUCUCUUCUACUACUUUCUCUUUUGUAUUUGAUUUCAUAUUUAACUAUACUACAAAUUUGGCUUUGUUUUUUUUUUUUUAUCAUGUUUAGUUAAAGUUUAUGCCUAGAGUAUGGAUGACCUUUUUAUAUCUUGUUUGUGAUAUUUAACUGGUUAUUUGAUGAUGUUAUUUUUGAGCAAGUUAUUUAUCACUUUUGCUUUUCUAAUCAUGAUUAACUGGCCAUUAGUUGUGAUUAUCUAAAAGUGUUAAGUUUGUAAUGAGAAUUGGAGUUUAACACUAGUUCAAGGAAGUGAUAAAUUUAGGGAGUUCACUCAUGAGAGUAGAGGAACACCUUUGUGACCUAAGUGACUUGUUUCAUAUAAUUUCAUAGAAAAAAUGAACUUGUAAUUAAUUUCAUAACCACGAGAGUAAGUAUGGUUUAGCUAUAUGUAUAGUUGAUUCACUACGAGAGUAGGUUUCACAUACAUUAGAAAAUUACAUCAUAACUAGUCAAGAUAAUAUCAUUCAUUUAAUCAGUAAUCUCAUUUGCAUGAGUAGUAAGGCAUUCCAUAUCUCUAGGAGGUUUUUAGUAUUAUUUUCAUUACUUUUAUGUUUAUGGUAGUCUAGAUAAUAAUGGAGUUCGAAAACUACUAGUAAUUGAAAAUUUUCCCUGUGGGAUCGACCUUUAAUACCCUAUACUCGCUCUCGACUCGUAUACUUGAGAAAAAUCACGUGUGCGGUAUUUAGAAUUUAUAAAUGUAAAACUUGACUGUAGAUGAACUAAUUGAUAUAUGUAUACCCCGCACUCGUCAGUAACCAGCUUGUAUUGAUCCCACUAUUGUGGAUAAUUGUGCUCUUAUGAAAAAAAAUUAUAAAAAAAUUAGCAAAAUUUAUGAUAACAAAUUAAAUUUAUUCAUACAAAUCAGUGAAAGAAGUAGAAUUUUAAAGUCCAUGAUGAAAUUAAUACUUUCAAGGGCUCUAUUAGGAAGACUUCACUUGUUGGUGAAACUACACUAGCACAGUUAUAUGCACAUUUACUGUUUUGGUAUCUAAUUUCCUUGCCUUAAGUUGGGUGCAGAUGUUUAUAUUACAAAUAGAUGGUAUCAUAAAAUUGUUGUAUUCACGUUUGUUCUUUUUUUUCUUCCUUAAGUUUUUUUCUUUAUUCUCGUGACUUCAAAAAUACGAACUCAAGAAAUUGGCUGCUUAAUCAAUAUGUCAUACAGGCUUCGCUAGUGAGGUAUAACUUCACAACUAGAGUCAAUAGAAAUUAUCAAAUGAUUUUUUAACAUCCAAAUUAAGCAAUAAAUUUUGUUUUCAUUUUAUGACAUAUAAUAGUACUACUUCAUGAGAGAUUUUAUAGUUUCUUUUAGGUAUCAUACCUACAAGUGAUAUUUGUCAUUGGAUAGUGACAGAAGUGUUAAUGAUUGUAAGAUUAAAUAUUGUUAAAUAUUGAAAUUUAAACUAUUUAUCUUUAUUGAAAGAUACAAGUUAAAGAAUCGUUCAAGGGGGCAAUUUUCCAUCUUGUCUUUUUGAAAAAACGCUAUCACAUUGUAUAGGCAUGAUAGGUUCAAAUUUGUCAUUAAAUUUAUGAUUGAUUUUCCUUUUAUUCAAGCCAAAUAUUGUUUUAAUUAUCAAAUUCUACUUAUAUUUGGUUAAUUGUACUAAUUGUAGGGCGGUAGAGCAAAAGUUGCUAAAAAUAGGCGAUUUUCUGCAAAUUGGUUGUCAAGGCUGAAGGAUUUGGGAUUCGCAUGUUCAAGGCCUGUUUCCAAGUUUGAUUCAAACUCUGGACAGUUUUAGAGGAAGAUUUGGAAGAUUUGAAAUUUCAUUAUUAGUUUUAUGGUUGAAUUAGGAAUCUUGGAAUAAUUUCUUUUGUGAUUUAUUUUUCUAUUUAGGAGACUAGUUGUUAUUUAGUAGUAGACUUCAAUUAGAAAACAAAGAGAAAAAGAAGGCCGGAAUCCCGCUUGAUUAAUACCUUGGCCAGGGAACAAUCUCGGUGGGGAGGACGGCCACUUAGCCUCUCAAUUCAUCUUGCUUUUCGUUAGUUUGAGAGGAAAACCAAUUGCAACUAGAUUCAAUGGAGUCUGGCAGAAUUUCUUCUAGGAUGCGUAGCUAAAUCCUCAAUUUUUAGUCGAAGGUCAAUUUGAAAAUUCGGUUCCAAAUAUCUGUGAAAUCGAAUUAUUUUACUUAUUUCUUUUAUUUAUUGGUAUUCGCACGUUUUCUGAUUUAACUUUUUAUGAUUGUUUUGUUAUUUGAAUGUCAAGGGUCCGAUAUUCGAAUUAACUUAAUAAUCUACUGCCAAAUUAACCGGUUAAAUCCGUAAUUGUUUGAUUGAUUAAUAUCAGUGGCGACUAGCGUGAUUGGUCCCAUGUUAGGAAAACGUCUGAUCUAAUUUAAACAAACCGUCGUAGCGUGUUUGUUGAUUAGGGUUGGGCUUUUCUAAUUCUUAAUUCAAUUGAGAAAUUAAAUCCCCCGGUCGUACCUAGGAUUAUUUUUUUGUUAGCGAAAUAGUUAAUGGUCGUACCUUGACUAUCGAAAAAGUAAGGAAGAGUUGAUUGUUUAUCGCGUGUACGACAACUAUAAUCAAUCUAUUAAUGAGUAAUUGAAUUAUCUUUGCAUCAGUAAUCAGUUGAAUGGACCGUGUCUGAAAAGUUGUACCUUUGGCUAGAGUCUUAUCUGUUGUUGAUUCAUUCAUAUCUAUCUUCAUGCGUUGUUUUAAUUUAGUUAAUUAGUUAUUUUUAUAAAAACCCCUCAUCUCUGGACUCUAAAAGAAAUAAAUUAUUUCUAGUUCCUGUGGAUUCGAUCCUACUCACCAUACAAUCCAACCUGCAAUUGUAUGAACCCCAAUCUCGCUUCCUAGUCCACCAUUUUUCUCUAGGUAAUAAUCUCCCUUCUAAUUUCUUCACAAAAUGCACCUUUCAUCACCUCCAAUAGCGUCGACAUGAUCUUUACCCCAGAAGACUAUUCACCGACUCUCAAUUGACGUUAGAAAAUCUAAGAGUAAUUCUACUUUACCCUAAGAUUGAUAUCAACAAGACAAGGACAAUUUAGAAUUAUUACACGCCUCUUCUUAAUAGGAAAAAGAAAUAGAGAAGAAAGUCAGGCCAGGUCUAAUUUCUUUUCAAAGGCAAUACAACAUUACGAAAUCAAGCAUUCAUUCAUACAAAUAUUUCAUAGUCACCGGUUUGCUGAGUAGAAAAAUUUAGACAAAAACUUAAUAUUAUAUUGUUUAAGAGUUAACAAUUUAGAGCUUAAUCUCCUUGUACUUUGGAGUUAACAAUUUAGAGCUUAAUCUCCUUGUACUUUGGACUAAACUUGAACGUGAAAGGAAAUCCCAAAACCAUAUUGGGCAUGAAUUCACACUUAAUAUACCCAAUAAAAGAUGGCGACUGGUGAAAGGCAGUGGAGACUGGUGGAGAGAUUUGAGGAAUAGAAGCAGACGGAAAAGCAACAAAUUUUUGCCGAAAAACGGUCACUUUCAUGGUUAAUUUUGCUACUCUCCAAUUGUACUUGACCAAUUACAACAAUUUCAUGGAGUUUGAUACGUGAAAAGAAUUUUUUAUAAAUUUUAUUUUGAUCCAUAAUGUUAUCUUUACAUAUAUAAAACAUUUUACAAUUUUGAUUUUGGCGCAGUUAACUUUUGGUAAACAAAAAUGCUCAUGUUUAAAAAACCGGAAAUAAAACAAAACAAGAAACAAAAGAAAUAAGAGGGUAGCAUAGACAUUUUGGAUUUUUCCGUUAAUUUGGAUGAUUUCCACCCACGUUCUAAUUUAAUCCAAAACACAAAGGAAUUACGUAGAGGUUUUAAAUAAUGAGGGAGCUUCAUGAUCGAACCCCAAACCACAAGGCGAUUUACUAUAUUUUACUCUUAAAUUUUGGUUUCAUCUCAUAGCAUACAAGAGUUCUAUUUCACUAUCUGUAGACAAAGACUUUCUAUGGUUGAUGUACCAUAGGAAAAAAUCUGCCUAUACAACGUGAUAGCAUUUUUUCAAAAACACAAGAUGGAAAAUUGCCCCCUUAAACGGGGAAAUUCAUGAUCUUUCCUCGAACAAAGAAUACUCACGCCUAUUCAAGAUGGAAAAUUGCCCCCUUAAACGUCUAUUUGUCAAUUCUUGAAAAAAGAAUACUCACGCCUAAAACACGGCCUCUUCAUCUGCAGAAUUCUAAAAAGUUAGGUAAACUCUAUAAACAAGUUGAUAGGUACAAUCGUACCCAAGAUCAAGUACAGAUAGUUGUACAUUCACUGCUGCAAUAACUAAUCUGAUGACUUACAAACAUAUCAUGGUCAAUCGUUGAAUGGUAAUGAGUCUUUUGUUAUGCAUUAGUAUUAGUGUGUACACUCUAAUAGAUUGAUACUUAUACUCUUUAAAUUAUCAUAAUAAUACCCUUAAUUAACUUUAACUCUUAAAAAGAAUACGUGUUAAUACACGAGAGUGUGUAACCUGAAUUGUUACUUAUACAUUAGUGUGUAAUAGAUAGGGAUGGCAAUGGGGGCGGGUGCCCGCAGGCAACCGCCCCGCGGGGGGCUCUCGGGGCGGGGAGGGGGGAAUUUUUUCCCCCCGUUUAGAAACGGGGCAGGGGACGGGGGAGUAUACCCCCGCCCCAUCCCCCGCAAAAAAAAUUAUAUAUAUAUAAUUAUAUAUAAUAUGUAAUUUAAUUAGUUAUAAACUUAUGAUAAUGAUAUUAUUAGUUAGAUGUAUUAUAUAAUGUAUAUUAGUGUAUGUAAUAUAAUUAAUAUUAUCAAUUAUACGAAUAAUUAGACAUGUCUACUAAUAGAAUUUAUUAAUUAGUUAUACUAAAUUUACUAAUACAUUUAUACUAAAUUUCUAAUUACAUUUAAUAGAAUAACACUUUUUUCUAAAAAAAAAAGCACAAACACAAUAAUGAAUUAGUGAUUGUAUUUUUACCAAAAAUGAAAACUUAACUAUUUUAGUUGCAUUUAUUUCAUCAUGUUGGAUUGUAUUCAAAUAAUUUUUGUUUGAUUGUUUUUAUGAGUUUCAAUUGUAAAAUUAAAAUGAAUAAUAACUUGAUGAAUAAUAAUGUCAAUCGUUGAAUGGUGUGUACACUCUAAUAUUAUGCAUUAGUAUUAGUGUGUACACUCUAAUAGAUUGAUACUUAUACUCUUUAAAUUAUCAUAAUAAUACCCUUAAUUAACUUUAACUCUUAAAAAGAAUACGUGUUAAUAACUCUUAACCUGAAUUGUUACUUAUACAUUAGUGUGAAAUAGAACGGCAAGCAUUGAGCAACUUAUAGGAGAAAUAGUCCUAUAAGCUGUUGGAUGACUAAUAUAGCUCUAGCUGUAAUGUUUUAAUUAAAUUACAUCACUAACGUUGGGAUGACUAAUGGUUUAAAAAUAAUUGAGUAAUUGGAAAAAAAAAAAGAGACUAAUUUUCAUUGAAACCCACCGACAAACUAAACGUGUCCAUGGCUUUUGAAUAGUGCAUUCAACGUUUAAUUGUAUAGUCCAGUUCAUUGCAGAUUACAUGGAGUAAAGAUUGUGCUCUUUCCUUUUUCACCCCUUUUGGAAUCGAUACUGUGGAGAAUUGGGUUUUUCCCUUCUUUUUUUCUUUUCUUUCUUUCUGUGCUUUGCAAAACAUAGGUAAAAUUAUGAAAUCCGAAGCAUUCUUUAAUUGGGAUUAAGUAUUGUUCUUGAAAUUAAAAAGAAGAAAGAAAGAACAACAAAAUUCCCUGAUUGGUUGCAUCGUGCUUCCAUAGAAGCUCUCUUAGUGUGAUACACUGCUUUCAAUCAGUUUAACAUGGAAAAAAGAAAGAGAUGAAAAGCAAAUUUGGUGGGGAUAAUUUCAGAAACCUCCCCUGAAGAUUUUGACUAUUCUACUGGUCUCCCUUCAGAUUUUAAAAAUUACACUAAUCUUCCUUGAAGUUAUAACAUUUAAAUUCAAUCAAUAAUUUAAAAAAUGAUAUUAUGAAAGAGAAAAUAAUAUGAUUUUAUCAUUGCCCCCCAUCUUACUACAUUAUUUAAUUAAUUUAAUAGCAACCCACACAUUAAAGAAAAAUAUAAAAUUUGUUAUUUAUCAUUAAAGAUCAAAUCGCUUAUAACAUCAAAUAAUAGUAUAUUAUUUAUAUUUUUCACUUAACAUAAUAUCCAAAUUACUCUUUUCAAUUACAUACUCAUUGUUAGACAAUCAACAACAAAUAACCAAAAAAUUUGCAACCAAAAUAUUACAAAAAAAAAUAAACUUUAACAUCAUAAAUAUUCUUAUCAACAUAUUAAAGUUAGUUACUGAAAUUUUUAUGGUGUUAAACUUCACUCUUUGUAAUAUUUUGGUUACAGAUUUUUUUUGAUUAUUUUUUAUUAAUUAUGUUUGAUGAUGGGUUUGUAAUUGAAAAGAAUAAUUUAAAACUUACAUUAAGUGAAAUAUAUAGAGUGAUAUACUAUUUUUUAUAACAUAUGUGAUUCAAUCCUUCUUGAUAGGAUUGGUAAUAGAGGUAGAGGGGGGAGUCGGCUGCAUCCGGUCUUCUUUUCAUAGAUAGUACAAUAUUGCGAAAUCAAUCGCAUUCACACAAUAAUAUUUCGAAGUCAAUGCAUGGCUAAGUUGCAUAAAAGUACGAACACUUGUUAUUAUAUAGCUUAAGAUUCAAAACUUUAGAGCAUAACCCUCCACCUAACACAAUUGAAUAAUGAAUAUUCACGUUUGUCAAAUCUGUCAAAGCACAGUUUGAGGACAACCCAUUCCAACCUGCAAAAGAUUUUUUACUUUUCUAAAGUUGUUGAGAGCUGUAAAAAGACCUACCAUGCUUACAUCCUCCGAGCCUUGGGAGUUAAAAAUGAAGGCACUGAGUGCUAUAAAAAGGGGGCUAGAGGCUGCCUAGAAGCAUAUCAGCCUAAAACAAGAAUUUGUUGUUAUGAUGGGAAGCAAAGCAAAAGCAAUGGGGUCUGGGCUGACUCCUCUUCUUGCCACUGUUUUAGUGGUAUUUGUUGCUCUUGGCUUGCCCUCAGAAACAGCAGCUGAUGAUCACUACAAGUAUUCAUCUCCUCCUCCUCCUUACCACUAUCCCUCACCACCGCCUCCAGUGCAUUUACCUCCACCAGUGUACAAAUACAAGUCCCCACCACCACCUCAUCAUGUUUACAAGUACAAAUCUCCACCACCCCCACCACCACACCCAGUUUACAAGUAUAAGUCACCACCACCACCUCCUCAUCCGGUACCACACCCAGUUUACAAGUAUAAGUCACCACCACCACCUCCUCAUCCGGUAUACAAGUAUAAGUCUCCUCCGCCACCACCACACCCAGUUUACAAGUAUAAGUCACCACCACCACCUCCUCAUCCGGUACCACACCCAGUUUACAAGUAUAAGUCUCCUCCGCCACCAGUUUACAAAUAUAAGUCUCCUCCACCACCACCUCCAGUGUACAAGUACAAGUCUCCACCACCACCAGUUUACAAGUACAAAUCACCACCACCUCCUCCCCCAGUUUACAAAUACAAGUCUCCACCACCACCAGUUUACCACUACAAGUCACCACCACCUCCUCACCCAGUUUACAAGUACAAAUCUCCUCCACCACCAAUUUACCACUACAAGUCACCACCACCUCCUCCCCCAGUUUACAAAUACAAGUCUCCACCUCCUCCUCACCACUACUAAGCAAUUGCUUCUGAGGUAAUAACACUUGUUCAAUAACACUUGAUAGCCAGCUGAAUAUUUGCAGGCAAAGGAGAAGGAAACCAGUGUUUGAGACCUUCUUGAAGAUGUAGAAGCAUAAGAAUUAAAGCCCAAUGUGAAGAUGAUGAUUUCAAGUUUUUCUACGUUACCAUUUCAAUAUCUAAAUUGGUUGUAGCGCCUUAGUUCCUUUGUUUAUGGGAUUUGUAUCGUUUUACGUACCAUGCAGUACAUGUCAUGUUUGUAAGGUUUUCUAUCCUGCCGGCAAACCGCAGGUUCCAUGUAAUAAAUCAAUACUAUUUAUAUUACGACACUUUUCUCUGUUUCUCUUAUAUUUUGUCUUUAAUAUUCUUAAUCAUAUUUUUAACAAAAAUAUUCAAACACUUCAGCAAUGGUUCACCUAGUUGAUCAUCGAAGCAGAGGCAAUUCCAAUUAUUUAUCAAUAAAUAGGAUAUAACUACCAAACAAGCGAUGGCAGUUAACCCCUCCUUACUGUGUCGGUGAUCAAGGUACGCCCGUUAAUCACUGCUCUAAUUGAGAAAUAAUCCUAAGUACGCCCGUAGAAUUUAAUUCCCCAAUUGCCUUACAUAUUAGAGGAGCCCUAUUCUAACCAAAUAACGCACUAUCAGGGUUAUUUUAGAUUAGCCCGCGUAUUCCCCUGACAUAAAUCUAAUCAUGCCAGUUGUCAUUAUUUUGAGGUAAUUAAACAAUUACGGAUUUAACACCUCAAUUGACAAUAGAUUAUUAAAUUAAUUAAUUAUUCGGAUCCAAGACAAUCAAUUAAUUAAACAACCAUAAGCACUACAAUCAGAGAAUAUGCAAAUACCAAUAAAUAAAUAAAAAAUAAAAUUAAAUCGAUCUCACAAUUUUUAGGCGAAUCAGAGCAUCCGUUGUCCCUUGACUAGAGCAAGGAAAUUAGUUCAUAUUUGAUGAACUAAACCCAUACAAAAGGGAAGCGAGAAAUGCAGCCAUUAUCCUUUGAAAUCUGGAAAAUUCAACUUGUCCGAAUAUCGAAUAGAUAGUAAUACUACAAAAGGUAAUUCAUAGCUUCCCUUUCGUCUGACACACAAGAAGAAAAAAAAGGGCUGCUAAUAACUAAAGGAGGAAAAGUCAAAGUCCUAAGCUAUGCUACAAGACGAAAAACUAAAGAAGACAAAAAGGCAGUGCUCAUUCCCUGCAAUCUCAAUUCCUAUUCUAUCUAAGUGCUCUCCAAUGUGCGGCGGCUCCCCUUCCGGAGAGGACGAAGUGGCACCCUUUUUUCCUGCGCAAUUUUCCUAUAUAAAGUAGUGCUCCUUGCAGCGGCUCCUGUGCGAAAAAAUGAAGACUUCGGCCCAAUUUGCCUAACAAGGGCUCACGUUUUGUUGUUCUAAAAAUGUCCCUAGGACAAACUCUAUCAUCUGAACUCUUUUCUUGCCAAAUUAGUACCUGUUAUUAUAUUUUCGUUCUACUCCCUGAAAUAAAUGCAAAAUAUCAAAAGUGAGUAGAAUCUAGCAAUUAAUCCACAUUAGGUCAGGUAAUAGGGAAAAUUAAUAAUAAAAUAAAUGAUAAAAUUGCAAUCUAUCACGGGACCACUGUGGUAAGGUGUGUUUCGCCUAUUAUAAGGAGUUCGGAGAGUUAGACGUGUUGGAGGCGGAGGCGCGGUCACUCCUGCACGCCCUCCAGCUGUGUGCAGAUCGCGAGGUACGGGCGUUGACUGUAGAAUCUGAUUCAAAGGUGCUUGUUCAACUAGUUUGCUCGGAUAUGAGGUCGAAGUGGCCGGUGUGUAUCGUAUUGCGGGAAAUAAGACAUUUGAUCCGGCGGAUGGGUGCAUCCCUUCAUCAUAUAUUCCGUGAGGCCAAUUCGGUGGCGGACGCAUUGGCUUCUCUGCAAUUGGGAGGGCAGCAGUACUACACCUCAGGCGUGGCGCUGCCUUUCAGGCCCAGAGGAGAGGCUCUGCUGGAUCGUCAAGGAGUACCUCGCAUCCGUGAGGCGCUCACUAAGGUUUGAUAGGCUAUGUCCUCCUUUCAAAAAACUUAUUUCAUCUACUCCUUGUAAUCAUUUUUCUUAUCAAUAAAUUGAGGCUUUUUAUUUAAAAAAAAACAUAUAAUUUAAGGCAAAAAUAUGAUCCUAGCGAGUAUCGCACUGAGACAUUAGGAAACAUCAUUAAAAGAGUAUUUCUUGAGUUAGUGCAACUAUUUCUUAGGGGAAUUUAUAGUUACAAAAUUCAAAAAUUUGAGAUUCUAUUACUGAUUAAUUAAGGGCGUUAUCACUAUUUUUCUUAUUAUCACCAUUAUUUACCCCACAUACUAUAAGUUUUUUUAGGGCACAGGAAAAGAGGUGGGCCGAUGUUUAGUUAUGUACAAAAGUUCAAAAUUUGUAGAUAACUUAUCAUGUGCCCUUAGAGCGUAGAAUACAGAAAAAAUAUCUUAAACUAUAACUAAUCCUAAUAUUUUUCUCUAUGAUAAACUAGCUCUUAUCCAUUUCUUUAGAUGAUGAAAGGAAAUAGUUAGUCACCUGUCCUCUAGUGAUUACAACAGCAUCAAAACAAAUUAGCACUCUUUUCCCGUAGUUUAAAAAUCCCUCAGCCACUAAGAUUUUGCAUGUCGAACGAAUUAAGGAACAUAGAAGGUUCGUGCUGCACCACAGUGUCCUUGUUGACGAUGCAAAGACAGAAAUGCAUCCGCGUAUACUUCCUUAAGCAUUUUGAUUACUUUAUGAUUCGAACUUUUCUUGUCUGACAGCUGGACUUAAUUGAAAAACACAAGUAACAAUAUUUCAAAGUUGAUUCGUCAAAGUUUACCCAAUUGGUGAAACUUUCUUCAUAGAGCUGACUUUGUAUUAGGUGACAAUGAUAUGGAAUUGAUGUCCUUCCCUUUUUCCUUUUUUUGUGUUGAAGACGCACAACGUUUUCAAUGGCAAAUUUAUAUGGGCUUUUCACGACAAAAUGUGUUCUGAAAAGUUCAUUCCAGAGGUUAAAAUUUUGUGUGUUAAAAAUUUGCUUCUCAGGACUUUGAUGGGAAAGUCUUGGUGUUUCCAAAAAGUUUAAGCAGGAUGCUUCUGGCUUUCUCUCCAUGUAUUUGUGAGUUAGAUCUAAAAUUAUCAGGGCUCCAGAGAUCUCUUGAAAUCGCAGCAUAUAUUGAAGUCUUUCCAGAAGGAGUCUUUUUUUUUUUUUUUAUGAAUUAUGAUAGAUAAUUAAUCUGACGGUGCAUAUAUAUAUAUAUGUGAUUUGCAGUAGGGUGUUUGACGAAAUGGUUAGGCUUCCUAAGUAAUGAUAGGAAUGCCAUUUGCAAAGAAGGACAGGGGGCUGGUGCUGUCAUAUUUUAUGCGAUUUGAUCCGUUGUUGUAUAAGUUUAAACUUUUGACGUGCAAUUGUGCUAUAAUAUUAUACUAAAUAUAUGUGUGAAAUAUUUUGUCUAUAUACAUCACUUUUAUCAUGAAUACAACAGCUGAGUAUAAUAAUAUAGUAUAAUGUAAUUGUACACCAAAUAAUGUAGCAAAUAUAACAAUUGAUCCGAAUUACACGGAACCAUAACAACAAGAUCACCGCCUCCCAAAUUUUACAAAAUUAGGUUUUUUUUUUUUCUCUUAGAUUAUUGAAAAUUUUCAAAAAUAAUCUACAUAAUUUAAGCUUUUGUCCUACAAAAAUUUGAAGAGAUUUUACAUUACAAGCUUAAGCUUAGAUAUAUUAAACUUUGCCCCCAAGAUUAAUUUUCCGUUUUUAUCUAUGAACCGAUCCAUAUAGCUAGUUAGACUGUAGUCCUCACAUUUGUGGGAUUUAACACCCAAGAUUCUCCUUCUUGGAAUGUAAAAUGUAGAUCUUCUAUGUUAAUAAUUCAAGACCCUACUGUCAUAAACGAAAUGACUGAUCAACUCCUGUAAACCUAAUUUGACAACAUUUAAAUGGAGAACUUUAGCUAAAAGAAUUAUGGUCAAGCUAAAGAAAAAGCCAGUUAUUUUCCAACAUAUGCAAUCAUUGAUCAGGAAAAAAAAAAAAAAGCAAAAAGACAUCUUCAAUCAUUUAAUAGCUCACAGUGCAAAUUAACCCCUAAGCGAAAACUGGUUGCUCUAGAAUCAAAAUUUUACCUUAGUUACCCAGGCAACUUUUUUGUUGCUUUUUUUUUUUUCUUUUCCUUUUUGGGUAUAUAUAUAGCUCCAGUUUUGCCCCCUCUGUCAAGCUUAUAUAAUUAUUAAGAUAAUAAAAGUGCCUUGAAUAGUAUUAAUAUAUCCAUUGACUUGAGCUGUCAUCGAUCGGUUUGGGCUACUUCGAUUCCAUGAGAACAAAUGGUAAUAAAAGUACUCAGAAAAUAGGGAGCCAUGAAACCCUUUUGUUCUAUUCAUUGCUAAGAUGCUUUUCUCUAUAAAGAGACUUCCUAACGAAAGUACUUUGUAGAUUUCUUUACUCCAAGUGGUGCAUGGAAAAUUAAAAUAUUCAAUUAUCAAAUAAAAUUCCCUUUUUUCGGUGUAGAUUUCAUCCAUCCAGCUGUUAACACAUUUUAUGUAUCCGAAUUAUAUAUUCUCUACCAAAUAUUGUAACUUUUCUGAGCAUCUUUACAUUUUUAUUCCCACCUAACAAAUUAGUUGUUGAGCAUCUUUACAUGCUAUCGGAUCACAAGUUAAUAAUCUUUUAAAGAACAUGUUAAAUUAAUUUAUUGGUAUGAAUAGUCAAAGAAGUAUAUUAAAGUUAGUAAUCUUUAAACACCACGAUGCAAUUAAUACUUUCAAGCUCAAGGUCUUUUUUUUUUUUUUUUUUGGUACUGUACUUCCUUGCUUUAUAGUAUGCACGUUUAUUUCUGUGGAUUGCUUAAGCUUAUAUUGUUAAUAAUUGGGCAUUUAACCAUAAAUUAUAAUGAUUAUGAAGUCAUAUAUAUAUAUAUAUAUAUAAGAAAAUUACCACAAUUAUUCAAUUUUUUUUGCAAAUUCAAAUUUUAUUAAUAAGAAAUAGGCAGUAAGCUUUUACAAACGGAAAAAAAAAAUCCUACAACAACUCUAGGACCUUUGAAAGAAAGAAAAAAAAAAGAAAAGAAAAGCUUAAGGACUCUACCUCAUAGAAGCUAAACAAUCCUACAAAUAAACUGCAAAAUAAAUCACAAUAACGCAAAAUUUUUGUCUUUCUUCCGUAUGAAAUGAAACUACGAAGUCAAGAAUUGACUCCUUUAACCGCUAUUGCCAGCGGGCUCCGUCAGCAAGAUACAACUUUGCAAUUUGAUUCAAUAGAAAUCCUCAAAUAGCUAUUUUGACAGGCAAAUUAAGCAUUAAUUUUGGUAUCCCUUCAUAAAAUACAAGAGUACUUUUGAUUAUAUCUAUAGAUCAACUUUCUAGGCUAUUUUGAUGUAUUAUAAGAAAAUCUGCCUCAACAAUUUUGAUAGCAUUUUUCCAAAAGCAGAAGAUGGAAAAUUGCCCAUUUGUACUGGGGAGUUCGUGAUCUUUUCCUCCUUCUAGUCUACUUACAAUUCUUGGAAAAAGGAAUACUCACAUCUCAAACAACUGCCUGUUCAUCUGCAAUGUCCUGCCGAAUUCUAGAAAGUUAGGUGGCAAUGCUAAUUACAUUUCAAAAUUGACUGCUGCGAUGACUAAUUCGAUGGCUUACUACAUGGUCAACGUUUGGAUCCCUUCCUGUCCUUUUUGGAUGCACAUUUUUUUUCUCUAGGCAAUAUAUAAUCUCCCAACUCAUUUCUUUACAAAUGCACCUUUAAUCACCACCAAAAGGUGUGGACAUGAUCUUUACCCUAGAAAACUAAUCACCGACAGGCAAAUUGACGUCAGAAAUACUAAGAGGAAUUCUAGUUUCCUUCGGGUUAAUGCCAUUUUGUACCCUUCAACUGUAACUCGAUUUCUAAACUAUAAUUUGUGACAUUAUAGUCCUUAAACUAUGAAACCCCUCUUACUUAAGUACAAUGGUUAAUACAAUACCCGUGACUAGACAAGCAACCAUAACAAAAAAAAAUCCAAAAUUAGAGAAAAGAAAGAAGUUUCGCGACCAAAGUAUGUAUCAAGGCAUAGUAUAGAAAUAAAAGUGUCCAAAUUAAGAGUUUAGGGAUAAAAGAGAUCAAGAUAUAGUUUAGGGAUUGAUUUGUCUCAAUUAGAGUUUUGAUGUCAACUAAGAAGAGAGAUAUAGUUGAAGGGUAGAAUAUAGAUAUAACAGUUCAAUGAUUGAUAUCAACGAGACAAUGACAACUUUGGAUUAUUACCAACCUCUUCUUGAUGGGAAAAGGAAAUAGAGAAGAAAGUCGGGCCUGGUCUAAGCCUGCUUCGGAGGCAAAACAACAUUAUGAAAUCACCGGCAUUCACACAAAUAUGUCAAAGUCACCGGCAUGCUAAGUUGCAUAAUUUAUACAAACACUGAAUAAUAUAUUGUUCUUAAAAUUUUUGUUUAAGAUUUAACAAUUAGAGCACGGUACACGAAUUAGCAAUAUUAAAUAAUGAAUGUUCACGAUUGAUAAAGUUAUCAAAGUACAGUUUGAGGACAACCCAUUCCAACGUGUACAAGAUGUUUAGCCUUUGAAAAGUUAAUUAGAGAAGGUGACGAGAUUUUACUAGGCUUAAAUCUUCUAGGCCUCGGAAGUAAAAAAUGAAGGCCUUUGAGUGCUAUAAAAAGGGGGCUAGAUGUUGCCUAGAAGCAUAUCAGCCUCAGACCACAUUUUGUAGCAAUGGGGAGCAAAGCAAAAGCAAUGGGGUCUAGGCUGACUCCUCUUCUUACCACCGUUUUAGUGGUAUUUGUUGCUCUUGGCUUGCCUUCAGAAACUGUGGCUGAUUACUACAAGUAUUCAUCUCCUCCUCCUCCUUACCAUUAUUCCUCACCACCACCUCCUGUGCAUUCACCUCCACCACCGCCAAUUUAUAAGUCACCCCCACCACCUUACCACUACUCCUCACCGCCACCUCCAGUGUAUUCAUCUCCACCACCACCUUCGCCAGUUUACAAGUCUCCGCCACCACCUUACCAUUAUUCGUCACCACCGCCUCCGGUGCAUUCACCUCCACCACCACCUGUUUACAAGUCACCUCCACCACCUUCGCCAGUUUACAAGUCUCCGCCACCACCUUACUAUUAUUCGUCACCACCGCCUCCGGUGCAUUCACCUCCACCACCACCGAUUUACGAGUCACCUCCACCACCUCCUCCAGUUUACAAGUCUCCGCCACCACCUUACCAUUAUUCCUCACCACCACCUCCAACGCAUUCACUCCCACCACCAGUUUACAAAUCACCGCCACCACCUCCUCCUAUGUAUAAGUCCCCUCCACCACCUUAUCAUUAUUCCUCACCACCACCUCCAGUGCAUUCACCCCCACUGCCACCAAUUUACAAGUCUCCGCCACCUCCAAUCUACAAGUAUAAGUCACCACCACCUCCUCCCCCAAUUUACAA
rnacentral:lncRNA from 1 species